CACGCGACCACGUGACCCACGCGUCCGCAUCACAUGCGGCACACAGCUUAUCCAGAUCAGCCAAAUAUCAUAUAUUUUCUUCCCCAAAUCCUAAUUUUUCUUUUUCCCUUCUUAUUUCUUUCUUCUACCUUCCUCCUUCUUUAUUCUUUCUCACUUUUUACUUUCUAUUUUUCACAUCCAUUAUCAAGGUUCUUUUCUUUCUUUAUUUACUUUUUACUUUUCCUUUAUUACUUUUAUUUAUGUUUAUGUUUUUUUUCCUUUUUCUUUUCACAUUCAUUAUCUAUAUUUUCUUUUUCUUUCUUUUCUUUUCUUUUUAUUCCUUUAAUUGGUGUUAGAAACUUAUUUGGGUGAUUAUUUUUUUUUAUAUUUUGUUUGUGAGUUAUUGUGAAAUUGUUUGACAAUUAAUAUUACUUUUAAAAGGUUGCUUGCAUGUUCAAUUUAAUACUUUCAAUAACAUAUUUACCAUGCAUGCUAUGUGUUUGUGAAAAAGUCCUUAUGGCAUUGUGCAUUAUUUUUAUAUUACUCUAUUUUACUACUCUAAUGCCUGCUUUUCACAAAAUCUCUUUUAUAUUUUAUUAAUUAAAUAUAAUUAUCAAUACAAACAGGUUGUUAGUUUCAAAGGGUUGGUAAUCUAACUUAGACAUUGAAUGUUUAAUCUAUGCUACUCAUGCCUUUGCCAGCAUUCCAAUAAACAUCUUGCAUUUAAUUGCCAUCACAUACACUUGCUAUAUUUUCAUUGAUGAACUUUUCAUAUGUAGUCAUGACCAUGUGUUAACGACAUCCUUCUUUACCGUGCAUUGAUUAUCACCUAUACCAUCAUCUUCCUUGAUCGAACCCUUAGCUUUACUUAUUACUUUCUUUUUCCCUUUUCAAGAUGGCCACCAAGAAGGAUAAAGAGAAAGCUACUUCCAAACAAUCGGCAAGGAAAGGAAUAAAAAGUGCACUAGCUGCGAAACCACCCGUCCACUUGUACAUCUCUACAUGCACCGAGGACGGUGCAAUCUUUAAGUGUGGGGAGGUCGAUACUGACUUUUGUGGGUUAGUUACCUUCUUCUCAAUACCAAUGUUUUAUUUUUUUUGUUUGUUCAUUGUUGCAUUUGCAUGUUUGAUUGCAUAUUUGUUUGAUUUUGUGCAUAUUUUACCACUUGGUUAGAGUAAUAUUUUCUUUUUCAAGAAACUUUUUAUAGCAUUUCACUAAUUUGAUUAAAAUUUUUAUUGAACUUGUUUGAAGAAAUAUUAUACUGAAACAUAGUUUUAGAGCUCAAACACACAAAACAUGUGAGAUUUUUGAGCUUAUUUGAUUGGUUGCAUCUUAUCAACCAAUAUUUUAUUUUUAGUGUGUGUUGUUCUCUCUAAAAUUGUGAUCUUUGUCUUGCUUAAUUCUAUAUUUCUAUGGUUUGAUUUAUACAUGCACUUAUACGAUUGAGGCCUUUGUUUCACUGAGCUUACGUACUCAUAUGGCCUUACCUUUCAUUAUCCCUUGCAAACCAAUUUUGAGCCUAUUUUACCCCUUUGUUCUUUAUUUUAGCACAUCAUUAACUCUAAGCAGAAAACAAUAAUGUCCUUAAUUUGAAUCCUUGGUUAGCUUAGACUAGUGAGAGUGCUCAUGAAUUAAGUGUGGGAAAAAGUGGGUUUGGAAACGUUUGGUUUAAGAAUUGGGUGUUAUAUAUCUUUAUGAAAAUGUGAAAGAAAUGUUUAGGACAUGUUCAUGCAUUCAAUAAUUUAACCAUAUGCAUUGAGAAAAACAAAAGAAAAAAAAUAUAUAUAUAUAUAUAAGGAGAAAAAAAGAAAAUAAAAAGAGAAAACAAUAAAAAGGGGACAAAAUGCCCCAAAGUAAAUGGUGAAAAGCAAUGCAUAUGUACUGUACUCGAAAUUAGGAUGCAUGAAUAUGUGGAAAACAUGGUUAAUGGAUAGUUAGAUGUUGUAUUAUGAUUACAUGGAUUGUCCUAAGUGAGGUGGAAAGUUUAAGUUAAUUAAGGAUUCAGAUUUUAGUCCACUUAACCAAAUACAAUCCUACCUUGACCCUAACCCCAUUACAACUCUUAAAAGACCUCUUGAUAUGUGUAUCUGUGCAUAAAUUUUUGUUGAUUGUUAGAUGAAGAGCAAGCCUUAGAAAGCAAGAUUAGUAAAGAAUUGAGAGAUCGAACCUUAAACACCUGAGCGAUUAGAGUGCAUAUUACUUCCAGUGAGGGUUCGAUGCUCGAUUCCUUGUUCCCGGCUUUCAUGAGCUAUUUUCUUCUGCAAGUCCACUUGUACUUUAUGUUGUGAUUUGAAUUAGUGAAAUCCAGUUCAUAUUUGUUCUUGAAGGAUUUGUUUACUUUUAACCAAGUAGGUAGAAAUAUUUUGCAUGUAGUUGCAUUCAUAUAGAUAGGUUGCAUUUCAUACUUUCUACCAUUCCUCUUCACUCUUAUAGUUUCUCUUGAGCAUAGCAUGAGGACAUGCUAAUGUUUAAGUAUGGGGAGGUUGAUAAACCCCAUUUUUAGGGUUUAUCCUAUGCUUAAUCUAGUAGAUUUUAUCCAUUAUUCUCACAUUUAUUCAUACAAUUCACAUGCUUUAUGUUUUCCUUCCUGAUUUUGUGCUAUGAUUGAAAACAUGUUUCUUUGAUCUUAAUUUGCUAUGUUUAAUCCCCUCUUAUUACCAUUCGAUGCCUUGAUAUGUGUGUUAAGUGUUUUCAGAGAUUACAUGGCAUGAAUGGCUUAGAGGAUGGAAAGGAAGCAUGCAAAAGUGGAAGGAAUACAAGAAAUUGAAGGAACUGCACUAUCAGCCUGACCUCUUCGCACUCAAAUGAUCAUAACUUGAGCUAUAGAGGUCCAAAUGAGGCGGUUCUAGUUGCGUUGGAAAGCUAACGUCCGACGGCUUCGAAAUGAUAUAUAAUUUGCUAUAGUGGCUGUACAGCUAGGCGACGUGAACGUGUGCUCCACGCGGAAGCGUCGCAGUGACGAAAAACCAGCGUGGCAGAUUUCGCAACCAGCAAUUACUGGGCUGUUUCUAACCCAGUUUUUGGCCCAGAAAACAUAGAUUAUAGGCUAUAAAGUAGCAGAAUCUAUUUAUUCAAUGAUACAACAUUCAUAACUCACAAUUUUUAGGUUUUUAGAUGUAGCUUUUAGAGAGAGAGGCUCUCUCCUCUCUCUUAGGAUUUAGGAUUAGGAUUAGAAUUUAGGAUUUCUAUUAUGAUUAGGCUACCUCUCUUCAAUCACAGGUUCAAUGUUCCUUUAAUUUAUUUUCUACUUUUAUUUAUUCUAUUACUUUAAUUGUUAUUUAUCUUUUCAAUUUGGUUUAUGAACUCCAUGUUAGGAUUGAUUUUCUUAAUUAAUACAUAUUGAGGUAUUUUAGAUUUAUGAUUGUUUUAUUCCAUUUAUGAUAAUUAUAAUUUAAUUUAGAUUUUUCUCCUUUUGACUUUGGUUAAGUAAUUGGUAACACUUGAGUUAUCAAACUCAGUAGUUGAUUGAAAAUUGGAAUUCUCGCUGAUUGAUUUGGAUCGCUCUAAAGCUAGUCUUUCCACAGGAGUUGACUAGGACUUGAGGAUCAAAUUGAUUGGUCCGCUUGACUUUCUUUUAUUUAGUAAGGGUUAACUAAGUGGGAGCGAUAAACAAUCCUCAUCACACCUGAUAAGGAUAACUAGGAUGGGAUUUCCAGUUCUUACACCUUGUCAAGAGUUUUAUAAUUAUUAAUUUAUUUUUCUUGUCAUUUAAAUUACUUGUUCCUUAUUUUAAAAACCCAAAACAAAAUAUACUUUUUCCAUAACCAAUAAUAAAUCAUACUUCCCUACAAUUUCUUGAGAGAUGAUCCAAGGUUUAAAUACUUCGUUUACAAAUUUUAUUGGGUUUUGUUACUUGUGACAACCAAAUUUUUGUACGAAAGGAUUCUUUACUGGUUUAGAAACUAUACCUACAACGUGAUUAUAUUUGUGAAUUUUUUUACUAGCAGAAAUUCAAUCGUCAUGUUGCGACGAAGGCAACGAGGCUAGAAGAACUGGAGAGAAAAUUAAAAUGAAGAAUAAAUUAAAAAUUAGUAACAGCAGUAAACCAAGAAAAAAAUUAAAUUCAAGAACAAUCAUCAAUAAUCAAGAAAAAAUUUAUAACAAGAACAGAAAAAAUAGCAGAUAAAGAAUGAAAAAUCAAAAAGAAAAUCAAGAAUAAACCUACGUGACGGAUGACACGACGACUAGACACAGCUGCACUGUGCUGCACGGAGGGUAACACAGGGCUACUGAUACGUGGACGACAACACAACAAGUCGGUAACUGCUGGUAGGUGCUGCUUCUAUGUCACAGCGUGGGGAUAACAGAGAGAGAGAUAGAGAGAGAGAGAGAGAGAGAGAGAGAGAGAAGCUACAAGGAAGGGAGAGGGAGUGGAUAAGGGGAAGAACGGUGCCGUGGACCGCGGGUGUGGCGCCUUCACAGCUGCUGUAAUUUGGAGGAUGGCAGAGGAGAGUGGAGGACUAGGGGUUGUGAGAGUUCAAAGUAGGGCGAGGUACUGAGGUUUGCGGCGCUGAGGAUGUAAGACCCAGAACCUUUGAAAAGUCUUUUUAUGAUCAAGUCUCAAAUCAUAUGGUUAUUUAUAGCCUUAAUUUCAGAAAUUAUUUUAUUAAAGGUAAUUAAGGCAAGUUUCGAUUUAUUGAAUUUGAGAUAAGUUAUGAUUAUUAUCCAAUUUUAUAAUUAUUAGAUUAUUUUCUAUAUUUGAAUUAUAAAGUUGAUAGUUAUGAAGUAAUAAGGAUUUUAUACGAUUUGGAUUAGAUAAGUAAUAUUUUAAAUGUUACUAUUGCUAUUUUGGAAAAAUGAAGAAAUUAAGUAUAUUAUUUCUAAUUAUUUGAUUUGGAAAUUUUAUUGAAAGUAAUUUGUAAAAAUUGAUGAGAAAAUAGUAUUUUCUAUAUACAUCUAGUGUUGGAUUUAAUUUGGAUUUCAAUUACUCUAUUCCCUAAUUUUAGUAAAGUUACCAAAGUGCCCCUAACCCUAGGUUUCAAAAAUGAAACCCUAACUCCCUUCAUCCUAGUAGCCGCAGCCUCACCUCCCUCAACACACACAGUUUGUUCCCUUAACCCACGAAGAAAAAACAGAAGCAGUGAGCCACCGCGGAGAAACGGGAUCCGUGGAGAAGAAGGAGAGGAGGAGAGGGAAGAGACUGCGCCGCGCGCUGGGCUUCACCGCCACCGCGCCGUCGUCUGGCCGAAGAGGAAGGAGAGCGUCGCACCGCNNNNNNNNNNNNNNNNNNNNNNNGCCGCCGGUGCUGCCAGCCCUUCGCGUUUCGCGCCGCCGAGGGUCCUGCUCCUGCCAGGCAUGUCUCCGCCGUGAGUCGCGACCAGAGGGAAGAGAGAAAGACCAUGAAAGAAGCGUGGAGUCGGUGCCGAGUGGAGAGGGACUUACCGCAGCCGUCGCGCGCCGCCGUGUGCCGUCAUCGCUGUCUGAACAGUCACCGUCGCCUUGGGUGGAGUCCGCCGCUGUCGCCAGUGGAGGCCACUGCUGUAGAACGGACGUGUGAGAGGGAAGCAAGAUGAAUCCCCUCUGCUUCUGGUGCUCUAGUCCGCCGCUGCCGCCGCCGGAAUCCUUGGGGGCCGCCGUUGUCUUUGUUGCCAUUAAAGGAAGCUAGCUGCCGCCGCCAUUCAGAUCCGCUACGGUCUCUGUCGGAAGCCACCAUGGGAGCCGUGGAAUGAGGGGUUUCUGCCACCUUUGAAACUCCAUUGCUGUUGUUGUCAUGGCCGCCACGCCGUUGGCUACCGGGAUCGGUAUUGUGGCCGCCAGAAACCGUCUUUUCUUGGUAAGCGUUUGGUUUUUGAAACCCCUUAAAGUUAGUGCCCUGUUAUACUUCGUUAGAGAUUCUGAGAUGUUGGUUAUGCAGGGUUGAGUUCCGAUAAAUGUGCGUUGAAACUAAGGUUGUUGUUGAGCCACCGGAGCUUUUUGCUGCUACGGGGCUGUUGUCGGGUCAGUUCGGAAUCGCAGCUGUUCCUUUGUGUUAUUUUGGUAAGUAUAUUUCGAAGAGCCUCGUGUUAGUAUUUUGUCGUGUAUGGUUGAUGAAUAUGAGUUCUGAUAGCAUGGGGUCGAGUCCUGAUUAUUGUAUGUUGCGACUAGUGUCGCUAUGAUUAUUGCGGAUGUGGCUUGAAGCUGAGGUUGCGGUUGUUGAUGAUUUCGGGUUGAGGCGGAAAAGACUCUGUGACGCGUUUGAGUUAUGGAAUUUGCGUUUUAAGGUAGGGGCGCUUUCCAAAAACUAUGUUUUAAGUAUUGGAAUUAUUACAUAUGGAUACUGUUGUGAGAUAUUGUGUAUUUGGUGAUUGUAUCUGCCUUAUGUGUUAUUUGAUUGACCCGAGUGAUUAUGGAUGUUGGUUUGGUUGAAUUGUUGUACGGCUUUGUAAAAUGCAAUGUUUUGAAGUGAUUCUUUAAAGAUUUGAAAUCUGAGUUUAAUCCGUUGAGGAUUGAUUUGAUUUGAGUCAAUUAUUUGAUGAUGUGAAAAGUCGAAUGCACUUUUGAAUUCAGCCUGGUUUACUUUGAUUGACUUGAUCUUGGACAAAUGAAUUGUUACUGAACUGUUUCUUUAAAGCUUUGGAAAUGAGUUAAAUCGGUUGAUAUUGAGUUGAUUUUGAAAUGGUUUUCUUGAGAUAUGCCACUGAGGCGACUGUUGGAUUUAGCUUGCUUUGAAUUGAUUUCUGGUUUUGAGCUGUUGAAAAGGAAUGAGAAACGGUUUAGUUGGGACCCGAACCGGGUGGCAAAAGUCCAAGUUUUAGGGGAGGUGCUAUCGAAAUUUCUACAAAAUCCUAGUCUUGUUUGAAAAGUUAUUUAAAAAGUAUUGGAUUUGAGAAGUUGUAUUGUUUGAUUUAUUAAGAGAAUAUUUAUAUUUUCAGGCUUAAUUUAUUUAGUGAACUUUAUGCCUUGAGUUUGACUUAUUUAGAAAUGAACUAUUUUUACCGUUUGAAUCACUGAAGGAAAGAAUGAUUCUUUAAUAUUGAUUUCAAUAUAAAAAAGGAGCUUUUAGUGAUUUCAAAGGAAUCUAGACUUUUGAUUAAGCAAUUAAGUUUGAGGCAUUUUGGAAGAGUUAGAAAAAUGGGUUCCAAAAAGAAACCUGAAAGUGGUUUGAUUCAAAUGAACCGGUUCCUUUUCAAAUGAGUUGAUUUUUGGACCGGGUUAGAACUUGUGAUUUUGUAUGGUCGGUUUCAAUGAAUUUUAAGGAAUUGAUAUAGGUUGACCUUCCAUAAAGACUUGGGACUCUGCCGAGAAGCUUUUAUUAUAAAAUCCCAUUGUUGGACGGGUGGUUUUGAAUACUUUGAAAUAAAUCCUUAACUUGCAAUGGUUUUGGAAGUUUUGGAAAGAGAAAGCCGAGAGUGGCUUUGUUUUAAACAGGGAACUCACUUGAGUAAAUUUGGCUUAUGAGCCUGAGAUGAUUUGAGAAAUGAGAUCUUUAAAGCCAGGGCCAAAAAGAGUUAAAAUUUGAUUUCAAAGUGAAAUGGCUUGAGAAAAGUGAUUUGUGGCUUAAAUGCCGGUUUUAUGAAUUUGAUGUUGUUGAAUGGUGGAAGUGUUGUUUUGUUAUGGGCCGGAAUGGCUGUGUAUGAUUAUGAAUAUUGGCAAGUUCUGGAUUGAACCGUGAGCCAGAAUGGCUGUGUAUGAUAUUGAUUUAUGGCUGAUUGCCGAAUGAGUUAUGGGCCGUAUGGCUGACUAUGAAUUAUGAAUUUAAGCCGGAUGGUUGAGAUGGAUAUUGAUCCAUGGCUGGGACUGAAUGAAUAUAUGCUUGAGAUACCUGGGUAGUAGCAAGGGUUGUAAUUCGUCCCACUUGCUCCAGGUCAGAGACUGUGAUGCCUGGGUAGUAGCAGUAGUAAUGGUAAUUCCACUCGCUCCAAGUUGAGCUUUUAAACACCCGCCUGGGUAGUAGCCGCAGUAGUGGUUAUUCCACUGGCUCUGGGUUAAGCGGGUAGUAGCAAUGGGGUUGUAGCUCAAACCUACUUGCUCCGCGAUGGGUGUUUCUGUCCAUGGCUAGCUACCAGAACGUGUCAGGUUGGCUAUAUAACCGACAGAUGAUAUCAUCAGUCACUAGAGACAGGCAUGCAUCAUAUGCAUCUAUGUGACAUUGUUUGGGUGUGCAUAUUGUACUUAGUUUGCCUAUGUGAUUAACUGCUAAUUGUUCUACUUGGUGUAAUUGUUUGUUUGUGCUUGAACUUCCUAUCUGUGUUUGCAACUGGGACUCCGUUGGUUUGUGGUGAUUGGUUGAUGGUUGGAUUGUUUGGGCCUAGGGCAAUGGUUGAAAUGAGAUGGACCAAUGAUUGGUUUCGAUUUUGUGUUUUUGGUUUGGAAAAGUAUGAAAUGCUAAUUUGGUUCAGCAUGGUUAAACCUUUUUGAAAGGCUUUUGAGUCUUUGAGAAUUGAAUGGUUCCUCUUUUAGAAAAGAUUUCCGACCUUACUUUCAUUGUAAACCGUUGUUUUUGAAAAGAGGCAUGAGACAGUUAUUAAUCACUGGUGCGGUUAUCUUCAUGUAUCCUAUUACAGUAAUUCCCAAAAACCCUUUACUGAGAACCCUUUCGAGGAUGAUGUUCUCACCCCCUACAUUUUUCCCCUUUCAGGAUAUGGGCACAGAAGUCACGAAGAGUUUAUUUAGUUGUUGUUGAAAUGCUCUGUAUUGCUUUAGGUUAUUAUUUAUACCCUCGCCUUUAUCUUGAGAUAUUCUGCAAGAGGGAUAGGAAUUGUGUUGUCUAAUGCUUGUAAUAUUAUUUAUAUAUAUGUGUGUAUAUAUAUGGAUGUACUCUUUAUGAGCUUUUGUAAGUUGUAUGGUAUUUAUGGAUGUACGUUACCGAACGAAAGUAUUUCUUGGGAAUGGUAUUGCGGUUUAAAGUUUUAAACAGGCUCAUAUUUUAGUAUUAAAUAAUAUAAGUGUCGUCGUAAUGUCCGAGCUAUCAGAGUCGCACAGCCGGAAGCGUGAGCUUUGGUAGUUAGGGUGUUACAUUAUGGUAUCAGAGCGGUCUUUCCUGUAGAGCCUGAGGAAUAGACCGACUAUGCUUCGAUUGCAUACUCUGAGCGUUUGUCAUGUAUUAGGUCUUGUCGAAAGACGAGAAUUAGAGAUUUAUGCACAUGACGGUCUAUUGAUUAACGCUGUUAGUCUUGCAUUGCAUAAAUCUUGGUAUUAAGUUUGGCCGCUUAAUACUAGUGAAUUAUGUAUAUGAAAGCACUGAUGGGUUAUCAUAGAUGAUAUACGAGUUUCGGGUAAAGCGAAUCGCGGGUUUUGGGAACGUUGGAAACUAUUUCUCGAGGCUAUUCAGUUGUGUGUCUUGAAUUCUAUUCGAGUCGACUUGUUCUUUCAUAUCCUAACUUGAAGUUCUUGUUUGCUGAUCCUUUUGAGGAGUAGUUUGAUUUUUUCAAUUUUAUUCCUCUAUCCACAGGCAUUCUUGUUUGAUCUUAAGUGCAUAUGCUUGUUUAAGAUCCUCGUUGUAUCUACCUUCCUCUGUUUGAGUUCUUUUUUAUUCCUGUAUUCUUUGAUAUAGCCUUGAACUUGUCUUGAUGCGCUGUGACUUUUAACUCUGGAUUCCGAGUUCAUUCUUAGGAAAAUUGUUGAUUCAGUUUUUCUCUUAUUUGACAGUGAUUACAGCCAAUUUUUAGAUUUUUAUAAAAAUUGCUGUUGAAUAGAUACAUACUUAGCUAUAUAUGAAACUUCGAAGAUUUCUUAUACAGUUUAACAACUAUUUAUUUCUAAUACCUCACCUGUACUUUUACUGGUUUACGGAACUGCGUUUACUUUAAAUUACAAUUUGACUUUCUAGUAAUUUUACUAUAGUUCCAAUGCACAUCUUCAUUUGAUUAUGUAUUUGGAUAUUUUUCAAAAUUUUGAAAAAAAAAAGGAUUUACCACUUUUGUCUCGGUUGAGUUUCGUUUGAUAAGCUUUACUUAACUUAUUUUGAAUUGAGUUUGAUUUAGCAUGCUAUAUGGUUUAUGCCAUUGCUGUUCUUUUGAAAAUGUUGGACUCAUAGCUUUCUCCUUAUGAACGGACUAAAGUUUCUCUUAAGCCUUCCAUCUCCAUAGGUGUCGUGCUUGGCUUUGUUUUUAACUAAUCUUUUACAUCUUGUGAACAUUACCAUUGAUCUUGGUUUUUCUUCUCUGGUGAACCUCAUUCUUAUAUGAGUCAGUUUGAUUCGUUUCAAAACAGUGCAUCGUUUAAUCUCUCAUUAUCUCUACAAGAGUUUUUAGUCAAAGAUUUAUCCUUGAGAAAUUACUAAUGAUUGAGUUGUCUUUUCCUAUGACUUUUUCUUUUGGAUCAAUUGAAAGCUUGUUUGAUGUCGCAUGCCUAGUGGAUCUUGUUUAAACUACUUUGAUUUAAGAUCUUUUCUUGUAUGGCUUGACUCCUUUUCAAGUACAUCCUAAUUUUCUUGAAUAUUAUUGCGAGAUGGUGAUUUCAAGUAUACUUUUGGAGACUUGUUUUGAAUUUUAUAAAGCAGAUUGAAUUCUCUUUGAAUAAGUUCUAAAUUGAACUUAUUUUUCAUUUGCUUGGUUAUAAUUGAGACCGUUGUUCAAUUUUUGGCAAAAUUGUUUUAAAGUCGGUAUGCGCUAUUUUAAAUGAGGUUUGAAAAGCUUCCUUGUUUAUUGGAAACCGGUGUGUUUGUAAUGCAACACUUAAUUCCUUUACCAAUUUAUAGCAAACUUUUACCUCGGAUUUUCUUUCCUAAAUAGAGCUUAACUUUCUCUUUUGACCUCGCUAAGAUUUUAUACACGCUUGUUUGAAUAUGGACUUUGGAGAUUUUUGAACAAGCAUUUGAUUUCUCUUCCGAGUUUUAUGAUUGCUUUUGGUUAAGUUGUGCACCUAAUUAUCUUUCUAAAAUAUUUGAGGGAAUAUUUUAGCCUUUAGCCAAACUUGUGAGCAUCUUGUUUUUAAAACUAUACAUAAUCUACUUCAACGUGAAAUUGAACUAGAGCAAAGCCACGUUUAUGCUUUUGUUACUCUCUUGAAGGAUAUUUGUUGCUUAACUUUUCUUUUAGACUGCGAGGUGAUUUUCCUGCAAGUUUUCGAUUCUUUUAUGAACAACGUAUUCGGAAGUGUUUUUAAUCGUGCUCUUGAAGUUCUGUGAGCUUUGUCUUGGGUUUGAGAGAUUCUUCCCUAUAAACUUCAUACUUCUUUGACUCAGCUUGAAUUUGUUUCAAACUAAUGUGCUGAUCCUUCUCCUUGUUGAUCCUAUUGGAUUUCUUUGAUUCAAGGGUUAUCUUUGAGGUUGUCAAUUGAAUUGUGUCUAGCAAACUUCAUUGCUUGAGUAUCCUUGGUUAUCUGGGAUUGGGUAUAUUCUCUCAAAUCUAUUAUUGCUAUCCUUGACAUUUGACUCUCCUUUCUAAAUCUUGUAUCCUUCUGAGUAGACUCGAGAAUUAUUUUGAUAUCACGUGCGACUUGUAGACGUAUACGUAACGCGAUGCGUUAGUUCUUUAAGAUGUGAUAUGUGUAUAUAGAAGGUGAAGCGGUAGGUGUGUAACAUUAUGAUGAGUUGUGGGUGUUUUGUCCCUUGCAAACGAGCUUGCGGGUGUUAGGCUUAUGAUUGGCUAUGAGGUUGAAAAGUGCUUGACGGAGUUGGAAAGUUGAAGCCUUGAGGUUGAUAUGAGAUUAGUGUACGGAUGUUAAGCACGUCGUUUUAACCUCAUCAUGUUUUAUAGCCUUCGAUGCCUUGCUUUACUAUCACAUGUUUGAACCAUGUCAUCUUUGCUUUGUGAACGCUUAUCUUGAUUUGCACCCUAUUUUGGCACCUCAAGUUUUUGUGAGGCAUUGAGAUCAUAUGACCUUGUGCAUUGAGCCUAUCUUAUAACGUUUGCUUUACAAUCACACUCCUGCCUUUGUAUCUUUAUGCAUACGACCAUCCAAGUAUUUGAAAAUCGUAUAUAGGUUUAUAUGUUGAGAUAUUUUUGCUUCUUCCUUAAAUGUGUUCAAGGGUGAACUGUUAUGAGAUUUCUUUCGUUUUGUAUCAAUUUUCGAGGACGAAAAUUUUUAUAAGGUGGGUAGAAUGUAAGACCCAGAACCUUUGAAAAGUCUUUUUAUGAUCAAGUCUCAAAUCAUAUGGUUAUUUAUAGCCUUAAUUUCAGAAAUUAUUUUAUUAAAGGUAAUUAAGGCAAGUUUCGAUUUAUUGAAUUUGAGAUAAGUUAUGAUUAUUAUCCAAUUUUAUAAUUAUUAGAUUAUUUUCUAUAUUUGAAUUAUAAAGUUGAUAGUUAUGAAGUAAUAAGGAUUUUAUACAAUUUGGAUUAGAUAAGUAAUAUUUUAAAUGUUACUAUUGCUAUUUUGGAAAAAUGAAGAAAUUAAGUAUAUUAUUUCUAAUUAUUUGAUUUGGGCAUUUUAUUGAAAGUAAUUUGUAAAAAUUGAUGAGCAAAUAGUAUUUUCUAUAUACAUCUAGUGUUGGAUUUAAUUUGGAUUUCAAUUACUCUAUUCCCUAAUUUUAGUAAAGUUACCAAAGUUCCCCUAACCCUAGGUUUCAAAAAUGAAACCCUAACUCCCUUCAUCCUAGUAGCCGCAGCCUCACCUCCCUCAACACACACAGUUUGUUUCCCAUAACCCACGAAGAAAAACUCCUGCCAGGCAUGUCUCCGCCGUGAGUCGCGACCAGAGGGAAGAGAGAAAGACCAUGAGAGAAGCGUUGAGUCGGCGCCGAGCGGAGAGGGACUUGCCGCAGCCGUCGCGCGCCGCCGUGUGCCGUCACCACUGUCUGAACAGUCACCGUCACCUUGGGUGGAGUCCGCCGCUGUCGCCAGUGGAGGCCACUGCUGUGGAACAGACGUGUGAGAGGGAAGCAAGAUGAAUCCCCUCUGCUUCUGGUGCUCUGGUCCGCCGCUGCCGCCACCGGAAUCCUUGGGCGCCGCCGUUGUCCUUGUUGCCAUUAAAGGAAGCUAGCUGCCGCCGCCAUUCAGAUCCGCUACGGUCUCUGUCGGAAGCCACCAUGGGAGCUGUAGAAUGAGGGGUUUCUGCCACCUUUGAAACUCCAUUGCUGUUGUUGUCAUAGCCGCCACGCCGUUGGCUGCCGGGAUCAGUAUUGUGGCCCCAGAAACCGUCUUUUCUUGGUAAGCGUUUAUUUUUCGAAACCCCUUAAAGUUAGUGCCCUGUUAUACUUCGUUAGAGAUUCUGAGAUGUUGGUUACGCAGGGUUGAGUUCCGAUAAAUGUGCGUUGAAACUAAGGUUGUUGUUGAGCCACCGGAGCUUUUUGCUGCUACGGGGCUGUUGUCGGGUCGGUUCGGAAUCGCAGCUGUUCCUUUGUGUUAUUUUGGUAAGUAUAUUUCGAAGAGCCUCGCGUUAGUAUUUUGUUGUGUAUGGUUAAUGAAUAUGAGCUCUGAUAGCGUGGGGUCGAGUCCUGAUUAUUGUAUGUUGCGAUUAGUGUCGCUAUGAUUAUUGCGGAUGUGGCUUGAAGCUGAGGUUACGGUUGUUGAUGAUUUCUGGUUGAGGCGGAAAGGACUCUGUGACACGUUUGAGUUAUGGAAUUUGCGUUUUUUGGUAGGGGCGCUUUCCAAAAACUAUGUUUUAAGUAUUGGAAUUAUUACAUAUGGAUACUGUUGUGAGAUAUUGUGUAUUUGGUGAUUGUAUCUGCCUUAUGUGUUAUUUGAUUGACCCGAGUGAUUAUGGAUGUUGGUUUGGUUGAAUUGUUGUGCGGCUUUGUGAAAUGCAAUGUUUUGAAGUGAUUCUUUAAAGAUUUAAAAUCUGAGUUUAAUCCGUUGAGGAUUGAUUUGAUUUGAGUCAAUUAUUUGAUGAUGUGAAAAGUCGAAUGCACUUUUGAAUUCAGCCUGGUUUACUUUGAUUGACUUGAUCUUGGACAAAUGAAUUGUUACUGAACUGUUUCUUUAAAGCUUUGGAAAUGAGUUAAAUCGGUUGAUAUUGAGUUAAUUUUGAAAUGGUUUUCUUGAGAUAUGCCACUGAGGCGACUGUUGGAUUUAGCUUGCUUUGAAUUUAUUUCUGGUUUUGAGCUGUUGAAAAGGAAUGAGAAACGGUUUAGUUGGGACCCAAACGGGUGGCAAAAGUCCAAGUUUUAGGGGAGGUGCUACCGAAAUUUCUACAAAAUCCUAGUCUUGAUUGAAAAGUUAUUUAAAAAGUAUUGGAUUUGAGAAGUUGUAUUACUUGAUUUAUUAAGAGAAUAUUUAUAUUUUCAGGCUUAAUUUAUUUAGUGAACUUUAUGCCUUGAGUUUGACUUAUUUAGAAAUAAACUAUUUUUACCGUUUGAAUCACUGAAGGAAAGAAUGAUGCUCUAAUAUUGAUUUCAAUAUAAAAAGGAGCUUUUAGUAAUUUCAAAGGAAUCUAGACUUUCGAUUGAGUAAUUAAGUUUGAGGCAUUUUGGAAGAGUUAGAAAAAUGGGUUCCAAAAAGAAACCUGAAAGUGGUUUGAUUCAAAUGAACCGGUUCCUUUUCAAAUGAAUUGAUUUUUGGACCGAAUUGGAACUUGUGAUUUUGUUUGGUUGGUUUCAUAAUAAAUUCAGUUUUAUUUACUUGAACCGAGAAUCCAUGAUUUUAAGAGUUUCAAUGAAUUUUAAGGAAUUGAUAUAGGUUGACCUUCCCUAAAGACUUGGGACUCUGCCGAGAAGCUUUUAUUAUAACNNNNNNNNNNNNNNNNNNNNNNNNNNNNNNNNNNNNNNNNNNNNNNNNNNNNNNNNNNNNNNNNNNNNNNNNNNNNNNNNNNNNNNNNNNNNNNNNNNNNNNNNNNNNNNNNNNNNNNNNNNNNNNNNNNNNNNNNNNNNNNAAAUGAGUUAUGUUAUUCUCCCCUAAAGACUUGGGACUCUGCCGAGAAACUUUGUUAUAAAAUCCCAUUGUGGAAUGGGCGAUUUUGAUUGUUCCCAAAUUGAAUCUUUAACUUUCCAUGGUUUUGGAAGUCUUGGAAAGAGGAUGCCGAGAGCGGCUUUGUUUUUAAACAGGGAACUCACUUGAGUAAAUUUGGCUUAUGAGCCUGAGAUGAUUUGAGAAAUGAGAUCUUUAAAGCCAGGGCUGAAAAGAGUUGAAAUUUGAUUUCAAAGUGAAAUGGCUUGAGAAAAGUGAUUUGUGACUUAAAUGCCAGUUUUAUGAAUUUGAUGAUGUUGAAUGGUGGAAGUGCUGUUUUGUUAUGGGCCGGAAUGGCUGUGUAUGAUUAUGAAUAUUGGCUGGUUCUGGAUUGAACCAUGAGCCGGAAUGGCUGUGUAUGAUAUUGAUUUAUGGCUGAUUGCCGAAUGAGUUAUGGGCCGUAUGGCUGACUAUGAAUUAUGAAUUUAAGCCGGAUGGCUGAGAUGGAUGUUGAUCCAUGGCUGGGACUGAAUGAAUAUAUGCUUGAGAUAUCUGGGUAGUAGCAAGGGUUGUGGUUCGUCCCACUUGCUCCAGGUCAGAGACUGUGACGCCUAGGUAGUAGUGGUAGUAGUGGUGAUUCCACUCGCUCCAGGUUGAGCUUUUAAACACCCGCCUGGGUAGUAGCCGUAGUAGUGGUUAUUCCACUAGCUCUGGGUUUAGCGGGUAGUAGCAAUGGGGUUGUAGCUCAAACCUACUUGCUUCGCGAUGGGUGUUUCUGUCCAUGGUUAGCUACCAUGACGUGUCAAGUUGGCUAUAUAACCGACAGAUGAUAUCAUCAGCCACUAGGGACAGGCAUGCAUCAUAUGCAUCUAUGUGACAUUAUUUAGGUGUGCAUAUUGUACUUGGUUUGCCUAUGUGAUUAACUGCUAAUUGUUCUACUUGCUGUAAUUAUUUGUUUGUGCUUGAACUUCCUAUCUGUGUUUGCAACUGGGACUCCGUUGGUUUGUGGAGAUUGGUUGAUGGUUGGAUUGUUUGGAAAAGUAUGAAAUGCUAUUUUGGUUCCGCAUAGAUAAACCGUUUUGAAAGGCUUUUGAGUUUUUGAGAAUUGAACGGUUCUUCUUUCUGAAAAGAUUUCCGACUUUACUUUCAUUGUAAACCGUUGUUUUUGAAAAGAGGCAUGAGACGGUUAUUAAUCACUGGUGCGGUUAUCUUCAUGUAUCAUAUUACAAUAACUCCCAAAAACCCUCUACUGAGAACCCUUUCGAGGAUGAUGUUCUCACCCCCCUACAUUUUUUCCCUUUCAGGAUAUGAGCGCAGAAGUCACGAAGAGUUUAUUUAGUUGUUGUUGAAAUGCUCUGUAUUGCUUUAGGUUAUUAUUUGUACCCUUGCCUUUAUCUUGAGAUAUUCUGUAAGAGGGAUAGGAAUUGUGUUGUCUAAUGCUUGUAUAUAUAUAUAUGUGUGUGUGUGUGUGUGUGUGUGUGUGUGUGUGUGUGUGUGUGUGUGUGUGUGUGUGUGUGUGUGUGUGUAUGGAUGUACUCUUUAUGAGCUUUUGUAAGUUGUAUGGUAUUUAUGGAUGUACGUUAUCGAACGAAAGUAUUUCUUGGGACGGUAUUGCGGUUUAAAGUUUUAAACAGGCUCAUAUUUUAGUAUUAAAUAAUAUAAGUGUCGUCGUAAUGUCCGAGCUAUCAGAGUCGCGCAGCCGGAAGCGUGAGCUUUGGUAGUUAGAGUGUUACAGAGGAGGUGAGGGUGAAUGAAUGGGCUUCAGUGUUCCGUGUAGGCUCUUUAGGGUUAAGGUAAUUUAGAAGUUUUAUUUACAUACCGGUUCAGUUUGGCUUGGUUUAGGUUUUCUCAGCCAGAACCAAAAAUCGAAUCAAACCAAACGAAAAACUAAAAAACUUAAUUUUUCGGUUAUUUCAAUUUUUGUUUAUUUCGGUUUUCAUUGUUCGGUUCAUCGGUUUUGUUCAGUUUGGAUUAAUUUUGAACACUCCUAGUAACCACUGUGCUAGGUAUUUUAACUAUUGCAAUGUCAUCAUACACGAUAGUUACCACUGUGGUGUCACCAUGCACGGUGAUUGCUGCCACUAUUUUUUACUGAUAGUAUAAUAUCUAUCUGUAUGUAAAAAUUUAGAAAGUAGUAAACAUUAGUAUGGUAAGUGUCUAUGCAUAUGUAUGCUGCCCCUUUCAGGAACUUUUUCCAUUUUUAAAAGAUGGUUAUAGUUCUUUGUAAAUAUGGAUAGUAGAUAGUUUUUCCUGUAGAUAGUUUUUUGAUAUAAUGCCUGUCGAGAUCCCAGCUGUCUUGAGUGAAUGAACCCUUAGGUCCUUGGUGUCUUGCCUCUUUCUGACGAGGCUUCCUCAAGUAGUAUUUUAGAAAAUGACCCCCUCUUCAAAAGGUCAAACGAUGCGACUAAUUAUGAGGUUGUAUUUCUGUGUGAGCAGGAGAAUAUCUGUUACCCCCAAAUUCCUUUUGUGAGAUCUCCUUAUUUUCUGUAUCUUUAUGAAUGUUUCUUUGUCAGAGUACGGAUGAAGUUUUUUUUUUUUUACUCUUGAAUCUCAAAUUCUAAUAGAUUGUAAAGUCGUCCCUUUUUAACUCCAUCCAAAUUCAUGGGUCUUUAUUUGAGCUUACGAGAUAGUUUGUAGGUUUUUAAAGUUAAUUUCUUCUCCUUUUUUACUAUUUUUUUCAGCUAACUAAGCCUUUUAGUGUGAGAGGAUAAUAACAAUGGGCUUUGUUUUGGACUCUUGUUGAAAAAAUUUCUAUAUUUUUGACUAAUUUUUUUAUGAUUUUCAAGAAAGGUGUUACCGCUUUCUUUUUCUCCGAGGAUGUCACCACUAAAUAUAAUUUUUACUGGUCGAAAGUCGAGGAUCCANNNNNNNNNNNNNNNNNNNNNNNNNNNNNNNNNNNNNNNNNNNNNNNNNNNNNNNNNNNNNNNNNNNNNNNNNNNNNNNNNNNNNNNNNNNNNNNNNNNNNNNNNNNNNNNNNNNNNNNNNNNNNNNNNNNNNNNNNNNNNNNNNNNNNNNNNNNNNNNNNNNNNNNNNNNNNNNNNNNNNNNNNUCAACACUAAGAUGAUAUUGUCUCAGCCACUUUUGGACCCACUUAGCUUCUAUAUUAGUAAUAUUAUACAUUGUAAAAGGGUCACACUAUGGUACAGAAGUAAGUUGAUACAGAUUUACAGAUAUUCUUUUUAGUUUAAUAUUGUAACAACAUGUGGUCUGAGUUAUUUUCUUCAAGAGUCAGAUUUACAGGACUGAGCGUUAGUGCAGUGGCUUGCUUAAUUUACCCUUAACCAAUAUUUUAUGGCUUAGAUGAAUGUAGUAUGUUGACUCCGUUAUUACAAGCUCAGCCUUAUAUAUAGUUGGACUAAGUUUUUGGGCUGUGAAUUUUGUUUGUAAGGCAAGUGAAAUUCAUUAAAAAAAUUUCAUAGCCUAGACUCUACAGGAACAUUUUUUGUUUUUAAUUCGUUUGUGAUCAUUAACAUAUUUUACAUUAAAUUAUCCUCUUUAGAUAUUCAUCCAUUAUUGUCCUCGGGCAAUAACUUGGCAUUUUCUCCUUUUCGAAUAGAUGAUAUUAUUUUGUCAAUUGAUUAGUUAAAGUUUGUGGAUAUUUUAGUCUCUUAAAAUAAAUUAAGUGAAAAUUUUAGUUUUUUUUAAAUAAAAUUUAAAUAUCUGAUAUCUCUUAUAAUUAAUCAACAAUAUUAGGGUAAAUGAUCAAAACAAAUUAUUUUGGUUCUAAUAUUAAGGAUAUGUUCUAAACGAGAUAUUGUUGUAUUUUUGCCAUUUUUGAUUUUAUGCAAAUCGUUGUAGCUAGUAAUGAUUUUAUGUUUAUAUCAGUACAAAAAAAAUAUUGAGUACCGUUGGAUUUAGCGUCGGUCUUUAGUGGCGAGAUUUUCGUCAAAUUUACCGACAAUAAUGAUGUCGAAUUCGUAAAGUUUAGUAAUUAUCAGCGAAUUUUGAAAUCCAAUGGUAACUCGAUGGUAAGUAUUGGAGUGAAACAAAAAUAAAAUGGCGUGUUUUUUACCGUCGGAUUUAUCAGCGAAUUUUUUCAACGAUAAAGCCAAUUAGUGAAACAAUGUGUUUUGGUGACUGUAAAAGUUUUACCGUUAAAAAGUCCGACGGUAACUGGAACGUAAAUUCAAAAUGUGAACCCUUUUCCCCUCAUUCAGAUUCAUUUUCCCUCUCACUAAACCACCAAAACUACCCUCUCCUUCCCUCUCCCUUCCCUCUCCCCAAAACGACACUCUGUCGUCACCGACAUUGCCACCACCACAGCCCCCUCUCCGUCGCCGUCAGCCAACCCAGCCUUGAGACCCCUUCGUUCUUCUUCUUCUUCUUCUUAUUCACCGUUAAACUUUUUCGUUCUCUGAACCACCGCACCGCACCACAUAGCCAUUACCGUAGCUCCCCAGCUUUGCUUCUCUCGUGUCUGCUCGUUACUGCCACCACCAUAGCUACUGUCUAGCUUGUCCUCUUCGAAUCGAUUCUGUCUCUGCAUCAAUAGGUAAUAGAUUCAAAUGCGAAUAUUAAAAUAGAAGUUUGUAUGCUUAAUGCUGAUGCAUGUUAAAAUUCGAUUAGAUCAUACUUUGUUUUGUUAACUGAAAUCUCUAUAUUAGGCUAAAAUAUUUUGUUGUAUAUUGAAAAAAUUGUUAAGCUAUCCAUUUCAAUAGAUCCAAAAAUGUUUGAGAAAUUAAUCCGAAAUAAUUCAACAGUACUCAUUAUUUUUCUUGUAAUGUAUAUAAUUAUUUAUGUAGCAACGAUUUAUCAACGAAAGUGUUCAUGUGGUAAAUCGUGCUAAGCAACAAUGAUUUAUAUAUAAUACAUAAAAAUGUUGCGUUCUUUAAUUUUUAUUUUUUAAAUUAUUUUAUUUAUACGUUAAAAAAUAAAAACAGAAUACAAAUGUUUUGACCUUUUUUAUUGAUUUAGGUAAUUUGCUUCUACAAAAAACAAAAAUUAGAGAUAAGAUGAAUAUUUAAAAUUGAGGUGAGGCAAAAAUCUACACAAGUCAAAUCAUGUUUCAAAUACAUGAACCAUGAACCAAAAAGAAAAUACGAAUGGUAGAAAAUUUGAACAAAUUAAAAUAAAAUACUAAUAAAUUGAAGACUAGACCAACAAUUAAAAAUUUUAUUUAAAAUAAAAAAUUAAACUUAUAUAAAGAUAUGGUGUAAUAUGAAGAAGUAACACCUUUAAAAAAUGUCUAAUAAUUUUAUUUCUUUUUAAAUAUUCAACAAUUAAACAAAAAGUGACACAUAAAUAGUUGAUGAAAUUAACUCUGCAGUGUAAUUCUAUAACUAUUUUUGAAAAGAGGGUUACGUAGAUAGUGGAAUUCUGACGUGUCCUUCCCCAUAGCUUUUCUAACACUUGCUUCAAAUAUUAUAUUCAUAUUCAAUUAUUCAUAAAUCCAUAUAUUUAUAUCCUUCUUGCCAUAUUCUCUCUCAUGGAUAUAUCACCAUUCAUAUGUACAUAAUACUACAAGCUUGCAAGUCACUAUUUAUGUAAAUAAUGUCAUUAUUUAACAUUAACAGUACCCCAAAUUUCAAAUUUCAAAUUUUGAAUUCAAAGUAACAAUUUGAAAAAGAAUAAUAUUUCAUCAAUUAUUUCUGUUUUUGUUUUUAUUUUCUCCUCGCCUCUUCUUUCUUCUUCUUCGAUUCCACCACCUCUAUUUCUUUCAUCUUCAAUUUUUUUCCACUAUCUAUUUCUGUUUCUCUCUUCUUCUUCAGAUCUCAUGCUUGCCACUCUUAUUGUCACCCUUUCCUUCCCAAGCUUCUAUUCAAAUCCAGAAGCUAUUACUGUUCCUUCUCUUCCCAGUGACGUUACGUUACCGUUUUCCACCUCAUUUUCUGUAUUCUAUUUUUUUGAGUCUAUAUUUCAAUGAUCCCUCUUUAAUUUCAUGCCAUAUCUAACAUCUUGCUUUGUUGCUUAAUAAUGUGUGCUGGCAUCUUUUCAGGGUAGUCAAUAGGUCAAGGGAUAGCAUAUGUGCGAGAUAACGAAGGGUUCUUUUCUUCAUUAUCUGAUUCUAUUAUUCUUCAUCUCAGAUUUCUUUGUCACCAGACAACCAGCCAUUCAGUGAUGCCGUUCCAGGACUCGGAGCUGAAUGAGGUGCAUUGACGAUUAGAUUCUUGCUAGUAAAGAAUUUUAUAAAAAUAAUCACGUUGUAGGUAUAGUUUCUAAAGCAACAGAGAAUCCUUUCGUAUAAAAGUUUUGGUUGUCACUUAAGCAAACCCGAUAAAAUUGAUAACCGAAGUAUUGAAACCUCGGGUCGUCUCUCAAGGAAUUACAGGGAGAUGUGUUUAUUAUUGGUUAUGGAAAAGAGUAUGUUUUUGGGUUUUUGAAAUAAGGAACAAUUAAUUUAAAUGGCAAGAAAAAUAAAUUAAUAAUUAGAAAAACUCUUGGCAAGGUAUGAGAACUGGAAAUUCCAUCCUAGUUAUCCUUAUCAGGUGUGAUGAGAAUUGUUUAUUGCUCCCACUUAGUUAACCCUUACCAAAUAAAGGAAAGUCAAGUGGACUAAUCAACUUGAUUCUCCAAGUCCUAGUCAACUCCUAUGGAAAGACUAGCUUUAGAGGGAUCCAAAUCAAUCAGCAAAUUCCAAUUUUCAAUCAACAGCUGAGUUUGAUAACUCAAGUGUUACCAAUUACUCCACCAAAGCCAAAAGGGGAAAAAUUCAAAUUAUUUAUAUCAUAAAUAAAAGAAAGCAAUCAUAAAUCUGAAAUACCUCAAUUUGUAUUAAAUAAGAAAAUCAAUUCUAACAUGAAGAGUUCAUAAGCCAAUUUGGAAACAUAAGUAAUUAGCAAGUGAAAUAGAGAAACUAAAUUAAUUGAGUAAAUAAAAGUAGAAGAGAAACAUAAAUUAAAGGAACAUUGAACCUGGAAUGAAGAAGAAGUAAACCUAACUUUUAAGAGGAAUCCUAAUCCUAAAUCCUAAGAGAGAGGAGAGAGCCUCUCUCUCUCUAAAACUACAUCUAAAAUCUAAAAUUGUGAAUAUGAAUGUUGUUUUAUGAAUGGAUUGAUUCCCCCACUUUAUAGCCUCUAAUCUGUAUUUUUUGGGCUGAAAACUGGGUCAAAAACAGCCCAGAAAUCGCCCCCAUCGAUUUUUGAUACGUCCAGCACGUGGCAAAGUCACGCGUGAGCGUCGUCCACGCGUGGGUGUGGAUUGGAUUUUUGCCAGGUCACGCGUGCGUGUGAUCCACGCGUGCGCAUCAUCUAUCUUCAGGGCAGCUAUGACAAAUUAUAUAUUGUUGUGAAGCCCCAAAAUUUAGCUUUUUAAUGCAACUGAAACCGCCUCAUUUGAAGCUCUGUAGCUCAAGUUAUGGUCGAUUUAGUACCAAGAGGUCAGGCUGGACAGCUUUAACAGUUCCUUCAGUUUCUUGUAUUACUUCCACUUUUGCAUGCUUCUUUUUCAUCCUCUAAUCCAUUCCUACCCUAUAAACCCUGAAAUCACUUAACCCACAUAUCAAGACAUUGAAUGGUAAUAAGAGAUGAUUAAGAUUAGCAAAUAUAAGGCCAAAGAAGCAUGUUUUUAAUCAUAGCACAAAAUCAGGAAGGAAAACGUAAAACAUGCGAAUUGUAUGAAUAAGUGUGAGAAUAAUGGAUAAAAUCCACUAGAUUAAGCACAGGAUAAACUCUAAAAAUGGGGUUUAUCAACCUCCCCACACUUAAACAUUAGCAUGUCCUCAUGCUAAGCUCAAGAGAAACUAUAAGAGUGAAGAGGAAUGGUAGAAAGUAUGAACGACAACCUAUCUAUAUGAAUGCAACUACAUGCAAAAUAUUUCUACCUACUUGGUGAAAAGUAAAUAAAUCUUUCAAGAACAAAUAUGAACUGGAUUUCACUAAUUCAAAUCAUAAAAAUGAAGUACAAAUAGACUUGAAGAAGAAAAUAGCUCAUGAAAGCCGGGAACAAAGAAUCGAGCAUCAAACCCUCACUGGAAGUGUAUGCACUCUAAUCGCUCAGGUGUUUAAGGUUCGAUCUCUUAAUUCUCUACUAAUCUUGCUUUCUAAGGCUUGCUCUUCAUCUAACAAUCAACAAAAAUUUAAUGCACAAAUACACAUAUCAAGAGAUCUUUUAAGGGUUGUAAUGGGGUUAGGGUCAAUGUAGGAUUGUAUUUGGCCAAGUGGACUAAAAUCUGAAUCCUUAAUUAACUUAAACUUUUCCCACCUAACUUAAGACAAUCCAUGUAAUUACAAUACAUAACCUAACUAUCCAUUAACCAUGUUUUCUACAUAUUCUUGCAUCCUAUUUUGAGUACAGUACACAUGCAUUGCUUUCACCAUUUACUUUGGGGCAUUUCGUCCCCUUUUAUUAUUUGCUCUUUUUCUUUUCUUUUCUUUUCUUUUUUUAUAUAUUUUUUUCUUUUAUUUUUCUUUUGUUUUUCUCUUUUUUUUUCUUUUUGAUGAAUUAUAUACAAAGGUACCAACGCAUAUGGUUUAAACAUUUAAUACAUGAGUAUGUACCCAAUUUAUUUUUCUCAAUGCAUAUGAUUAAAUUAUUGAAUGCAUGAACAUGUCCUAAAUAUUUCUUUCACAUUUUCAUAAAGAUAUAUAACACCCAAUUCUUAAACCAAACAUUUCCAAAUCCAACUUCCCCACACUUAAUUCAUGAGCACUCUCACUAGUCUAAGCUAACCAAGGAUUCAAAUUAAGGACAUUAUUAUUUUCUGCUUAGAGUUAGUGAUGAGCUAAAGUAAAGAACAAAGGGGUAUAAUAGGCUCAACAUUGGUUUGCAAAGGAUAAUGAAAGGGUAAGGCCAUAUGGGUAUGUAAUCUUAGUGAAACAAAGGCCUCAAUCAUAUAAGUGUAUGCAUACAUCAAACAAUGGAAAUAUAGAAUUAAGCAAGACAAAGAUCACAAUUUCAGAGAGAACAACACAUACUAAAAAUAAACUAUUGGUUAAAAAAAUGCAACCAAUUCAAAUAAGCUCAAAAAUCUCACAGGUUUUGUGUGUUCGAGCUCUAAACAAUGUUCAAAUAUAAUAUUCCUUCAAACAAGUAUAUCAAAAAUUUUAAAUCAAAUUAGUGAAAUGUUAUAAAAAGUUUCUUGUAAAAGAAAAUAUUACUUUAACCAAGUGGUGGUAAAAUAAACACAAAAUCAAGCAAACAUGCAAUCAAACAUGCAAAUGCAACCAUGAACAAACAAAGAAAAUAAAACAUUGGUGUUGAGAAGAAAAUAACUAACCCACGGAAGUCGGUAUCGACCUCCCCAUACUUAAAGAUUGCACCGUCCUCGGUGCAUGUUGAGAUGUGCAAGUGGAUGGGUGGCUCCAACUGACGCUUUUCUCCAAAGAUUGUGCAGAUGGACUUGUUUGUCUCCCCAUUUAGAAGUUUUUCCUUUCCCUUCUUCAGUGGCCAUCCUGAAAGAAGAGGAAAAGGAAGAAAAGUAACCUAGAAAUAAAGAUAAGAAAACAAAUAAAAUAUGGUGUUAAUGCCAAAUAAUAAGGUUCUCAAUUACAUGGUAGCUACAACAUGCAAGUGAGAAAAUAGUGGAAGCAAAUAGCAUAUCAAUAGUGCAAAAGUUGCAACAAUGGGGAGAAUGCAAUAUAAAUUCAUGUCACUACAAAAGGAACACAUGUAUCAUACAAAUUGGCAUUUGACAAAUAAAUAAUAUCGCCCAAUAAUGUAAAACAAGUCACUAAGCACCAAAAUAAUACUAGAAAAGACACAACAGUUGAAUAAGAACAUGUGACAUCAAUGUAAAAAGAAUAACUUUAGAAAGAAAAAAAAAUAAGCACAAAAUUAAAAUGCAAUGAAUGAAAAUAUGCAAUUAAGUAAAAUAGAAUGAAAGUGAAGAAGGAUGAGAAGUUAAAAAGAUGAAGAAGAAGAAAGUAAGAAAGAAUGAAGAAAGAAGUAGAAAGGAGAGAAGAAAGAAGUAAGAAUUUAAAAACAGGGCGUGACGCGUACGCGUGCAUCACGCAUACGCGUGGGUGGUCUGAAAGCGAAAUGACGUGUACGCAUCAGGGACGCGUUCGUGUGGAAUGAUUUUUGUGCCACUAGCACAGUUCCAUCGCAAGGGCAGCACAACUCUCUGUUCAGGUGCUCUUUACGCCGAUUUUCAUCCCACGCGUACGCAUCGCCGACGCUUAUGCGUGGGUUGAGCUUCUGCAGGGGAUGCAUACGCGUGAGGUAUGCGUACACGUAGGGUGGCUUGUGCUUCACGCACCCCUCCGGCGCGUCUUUUGCGCAACUCACUGUCUAGUUGCGCAAACACAUACGACGCGUGCGCGUCGUUGACGCUUGCGCGUCGAUCCCCCUUUUUUUUAAUGCAGAAUGCAAAAUGCAGAAUGCAUAUGACUAUGCAAAAAUUAUGAAUGAACACAAUUAAAAAUAAAAUAAAAUAAAACUAAGAACAAAAAGGAAGGAAUAUACCAUGGUGGGUUAUCUCCCACCUAGUAGUUUUAAUUAAAGUCCUUAAGUUGGACAUUUGGUGAGUCCCUUGUUAUGGUGGCUUGUGCUUGAACUCAUCCAGGAAUCCCCACCAGUGUUUGUAAUUCUAAUAGCCUCCGGGAUCCCACACUAGUUGCAUAAAGCCUUCAAGCAAGUUAAAGCAAGUGACAAGGCCCCAAGAGUGUUGAUUGCUAGAAUGAAUUCUGGGGUCCCAAACCUUGCUUUUGCACCCGUCUUCUUGUUGAUCAUCAUUUUUCCACUUGGGUGGUGAGCAAUCGGAAUUCUCACUGAGAAAUCCAAAAAACUUUCUAGACCCAUUCAAUUGAGAAUUAUACCAACCUUUGUACUUCAAUUUGGAGCAUGCAACCAUAUUGAACCUUGUAUGACAAUUCUUACCACUAACCAUCUCCCUCUUACUCUUAAAGCCACAAAGAGCUCUAAGCUGACCAUCUGUCUCGAGCAAAGCAUAUUCAAGUGGGCUAAUUAAGCUUAGAGAUGAAAGAUUUACCCACUUGAAUGAAGGAAUGGAUGGUGAUGGCUUUGGGGGAGAGGUCUCCAACAUCUUUGGCAAGGUGAUUUCCAGCUCUAUCCCUUUGAGUUCUUCCUUGACAACUUCUACCUCUUUGCAAGCUUCUUCAAUAUCAACCUCUUCCUCUUGGUAGCUUUCUUUCAAAUCGAUCUCUUCUUCAUUGUUCACCAAGGGCAUGGGAGGUUGUGCUUCUUCUUCUUUAAUCUCCAUGUCAAGUCCAAUGGGAGAGUAUUCAAAUGUAGAUAAGAAUUCAUCAAUGAUUGAAUCCAUUUCUUGAUCAUCCCCUUCAAAGUCUUCAACCAUGAUAUGCCUUGGAGGUUGUACACCCUCCUCAACAUCAAAUUCAAACUCCUUAGAAGGGGGCUCUAUGACUGGGCUUUCCCAUAGAUGUUCCGCAUCUCCUAAGUCUUCAACCACUUCUUCCUCUUUAACGAUUACGGCUUCCUCCACUUGUUCUAGUACAAAGUCAUGCUCCUUACUGUCGACCGGAGUUUCUAGUAUCUCCUUCAUGCUACUUUCUUCAUUAGAUUCUCCACAUGAAGCCAUGGGGGUUCCUUGAGUGUCCAAACUUCGGAAAGCUAAUUGAUUUAUCGCUUGCUCCAGUUGAUGAAGAGUUGCAUGAAAUUGAUCUACUGUUUCCUUGAGGCGAGCUUGUGAUUCUUGGUUGAUGGAUAUGGACAUGGUGCAUAUGGAAGUAGUGGUUCUUGGGGGUAAUUAGAUUGGAAUUGGGGUAGGUAAGGGUUAGGGUCAUAUGGAGGUGAAUGGUUGUAGGUGGCUUGUGAGUAUGGUGGUUCAAAGCUAUGUUAAGGAGGUGGUUCAUUGGCAUAUGAUGGGGCUUGUUGGUAACUACAAGGGGGUCUACCAUAUCUAUCAUAUUGGUAUGCACCUCGGAAUGGCUCUUGACCAUAGUAACUUGGUGGAGGUGGUUUGUCACGAAAAGGUCCACCAUAACUAUUGUCUUGGCAUGCAUUGUAGGAUGGUCGUUGUCCAUGGUAUCUUGGAAGGUGUUGUUACCGAAAGGGUUGAUCAGAUCCUCAUGGCUCCUUCCAUCUGUGAUCGUUUUGACCUUGACACAUGUUCCUGUUAUAGCUUCCAUUCCUUUCAACAACAUUAGAACCAACUCAAAGCGACGGGGGUGAGAACUCAUAGUAGCUAAUAAAAAUUAAAAACAAAAAAAAAUAAAAACGAAUAAACAAGCAAAAUAAAAUAUUUACAAUAACCAAUAAUAAGGCACACAUUUGCAAUUCCCCAGCAACGGCACCAUUUUGACGAUUAGAUUCUUGCUAGUAAAGAAUUUUAUAAAAAUAAUCACGUUGUAGGUAUAGUUUCUAAACCAACAGAGAAUUCUUUCGUACAAAAGUUUUGGUUUUCACUUAAGCAAACCCAAUAAAAUUGAUAACAGAAGUAUUGAAACCUCGGGUCGUCUCUCAAGGAAUUGCAGGGAGGUGUGUUUAUUAUUGGUUAUGGAAAAGGGUAUGUUUUUGGGUUUUUGAAAUAAGGAACAAUUAAUUUAAAUGGCAAGAAAAAUAAAUUAAUAAUUAGAAAAACUCUUGGCAAGGUAUGAGAACUGGAAAUCCCAUCCUAGUUAUCCUUAUCAGGUGUGAUGAGAAUUGUUUAUUGCUCCAACUUAGUUAACUCUUACCAAAUAAAGGAAAGUCAAGUGGACUAAUCAACUUGAUUCCUCAAGUCCUAGUCAACUCCUAUGGAAAGACUAGCUUUAGAGGGAUCCAAAUCAAUCAACAAAUUCUAAUUUUCAAUCAACAGCUGAGUUUGAUAACUCAAGUGUCACCAAUUACUCCACCAAAGCCAAAAGGGAAAAAAUCCAAAAUAUUUAUAUCAUAAAUAAAAGAAAGCAAUCAUAAAUUUGAAAUACCUCAAUUUGUAUUAAAUAAGAAAAUCAAUUCUAACAUGAAGAGUUCAUAAGCCAAUUUGGGAACAUAAGUAAUUAGCAAGUGAAAUAGAGAAACUAAAGUAAUUGAGUAAAUAAAAGUAGAAGAGAAAUAUAAAUUAAAGGAACAUUGAACCUGGAAUGAAGAAGAAGUAAACCUAACCUUUAAGAGGAAUCCUAAUCCUAAAUCCUAAGAGAGAGGAGAGAGCCUCUCUCUCUCUAAAACUACAUCUAAAACCUAAAAUUGUGAAUAUGAAUGUUGUUUUAUGAAUGGAUUGAUUCUCCCACGUUAUAGCCUCUAAUCUAUGUUUUUGGGUCGAAAACUGGGUCAAAAAUAGCCCAGAAAUCGCCCCCAACGAUUUCUGAUACGUCCAGCACGCGGCAAAGUCACGCGUGAGCGUCGUCCACGCGUGGGUGUGGAUUGGAUUUUUGCUAGGUCACGCAUGCGCGUGAUUCACGCGUGCGCAUUAUCUAUCUUCAUUUUCAACGCAACUGAAACCGCCUCAUUUGGAGCUCUGUAGCUCAAGUUAUGGUCGAUUUAGUACCAAGAGGUCAGGUUGGACAGCUUUAGCAGUUCCUUCAGUUUCUUGUAUUCCUUUUACUUUUGCAUGCUUCCUUUUCAUCCUCUAAGUCAUUCCUACCCUAUAAACCCUGAAAUCACUUAACACACAUAUCAAGGCAUCGAAUGGUAAUAAGAGAGGAUUAAGAUUAGCAAAUAUAAGGCCAAAGAAGCAUGUUUUCAAUCAUAGCACAAAAUCAGGAAGGAAAACGUAAAACAUGCGAAUUGUAUGAAUAUGUGUGAGAAUAAUGGAUAAAAUCCACUAGAUUAAGCACAAGAUAAACUCUAAAAAUGGGGUUUAUCACUCAUACCAGAGCGCUAGGGCUUAGGAUAACCGCCGCAAGGAGGCGCGUUAGGUCAACGUCAUUGGCGACAUUCACAUGAACAAAGGAGAUACGUCGAAGCCUUCAAAUGGCUCUGAAUCCGAAUCGAUUAUGAAGUUCUACUAAAAUACUUGUUGGGAAAGGACUUGCUCCCUGCCUGCCAAUCCCUUGGCGAGAUGUACCUAGGGGUGAGCACGGGUCGGUUUGGUUCGGGUUUAUGGUAAAAUUAGAACCGAACCGAUCAAAAUGUAAUUGGUUCGGUUUGGUUCGGAUUUGCAUUUGUACAUGUACCCGAACCAAACCAAACCGAUUAAGAAUUGAUUGAUUCGGUUCGGGUAAUUGGGUACCCGAUGACUUUGAAAUUCAUAAAAAAAAUCCAAAUUUUUAUCUUAAAAAUUCAACAAGUACAAUAAACAUGUAACAUCAAUAGAAAUAAUUCAAACAUGUUAAACACCAAAUACAUUAAAAACUAAACUCAUUAAAGUCCAAACAUAUUAAUAAUGAAUAAUUAUUGUCUAACGAAAAAGCCAUAUUUAUUUUUUUAUUUUUUUUAUUUAAUUAAUAUAUGAUCGGGUUCGCGGGUUGGUUCGGGUUCCACACCCCCAAAAUCGAUACCCGAACCAAUCACUAACAAAAGCCAUCGGUUUGGUUUGGGUUAGACCCGAUUACCCGUUUGUUUCAUAACCAAUUUAAUUGGUUCGGUUCGAGUUCGAACGGGUAAUUGGGUACCCGCUACCGUGCUCACCCCUAGAUGUACCUUUGCCUCGAGCAGUUUUCUGAUGCUCUACCUUACAAGGUAAUACUCUAAUUUCUUCUCCAUUUUUUAUUUCCAAUCUGUUCCUCAACGUUGCGAAUUUUCCUCUUUCGAUUGUAGAAGAUGCAGUUAGACCUUGCAAGGAAUUCCCCUUGCCAAGGUUUCCUUAGUUUUCUUGCUCUUUGCGGCAUCCUCCACUACGUCAGGGCAAUCAGUGACGAGUUUUGAGUGAUUGGAAGGGUAGAGUUGAGGGUUUCUCCAUUGGUCUACCUUUUGGUUUGCAUUAGAUUUUCAAGCGUGAAUGGAUGUUGGAGUUUUCCAAUAUUUAGGUCACUUUCUCCAUCUCUCUCUUUCUCAUUCAUCAGUUAGUGUUUAUGAUAGCUUUAUAGUUCGUAAUGCAUUUUUGUGUAUUGUAAGACCCAAGAUUUUUGAAAAGUCCUAUUUUGAAUCAAUCUCAAAUUAUAUAUUUAUUUAUGGUUUUAAUUUCAGAAAUUAUUUUUAUUAAAAAUAAUUGAAGGCAAUUAAUUGGACUUGAAAUAAAUUAAGGUUUUUAUCCAAACUCUAUACCCAUGGAUUAUUUUCCUAUUUAUGAUUUAAAGUUCUGGAAAUUCGAAAAAUAUAUUAUCUCUAAUUCUUGAAUUUGAGUACUAAUUCGAAAAUAAAUCAUAAUUUGAUAAUUAGAUAGUAUUUUUAUAAAUAUUAUUAUUGGAUUAAAAUAGGUUUUCAAUUAUUCUAUUACCCCUAAUUUUAUUCAAAAUUACUAAACUAUUCCUAACCCUAAUUUCUAACCACACACUCACCUCACCCACACCUACCGCCACUCUCCUUACUCACCACAACACAUACACAACGCACUACACCCUUUACACACACAGCAACAACUUCAAAAAAAAAAGAAACAAAAAGAAAGAAAGGGGAAGAAGGAAGGGGGGCCGAGGAAGGAAGGAGUGAGGCGGCGCGGUGGGUGUCACUGCCACCAUCACCGCCGCUGCUGAUAGAGGAGAGAGAGGAUAUCUGAGAGAGAAAGAGAGUGUCACGAGGGAGCCGCACACUGCUCAGGAUCGCCGUCGCAUCGCGUCGCGUCGCCGACGCGACGCCGUUUGCGCCAGCGCCGAGGAGGACCGCGCGAAAAGGACCGCCGUUUUGCGCCGCCACUGUGGCUCUUGUCACCGCCGAACCUGUCGCCGUCGCCACUAACUUCCACCACCGUCGAGGUUGUCGCGAAUGGGAGAGGAUGAAGCUGCCCAUGUCGCCGCCGUGAGGAGCCGCGAGUCCCGUCACCGUCAUCAUCACAAAUGGUGUUGCCGUUGUGGUCGAACCCAGCCGCCACCAUCGCAAGCUCCGUCGCCACCGUUGGAGGUGGGUUGCUGAGCCGGUGUCGCCGAAAAAUGGUGUUGUCGUAGCUGAGGUCCAUUGCCGGUAAGGGUUUUCUUUUUUAGGUUGGUCUCUGUUCUUGUGGGUUUCGGAAAGAUUAUUGUCACUGCGUGGUUGUUACAAUUGCCGUCGCUGAGCUUCUGGCCGCCGGGAACGGUGCUGUGGCCGCUGGAACCUUGGUUUGUGUCGCUGCCAUUAGUCACUGAUAGAGGUAUCUCUGCUGCCUCUAUUUUGCUUUAGGUCCUUCGCUUUUACUUUUACUUUUCUUUUAUCCUAUUUUCUGCUACUGUUAGGUUGAGUAUUGACGCUAGUGUUCCUGCGGGGCUGCUGAAGCUGCUGCUAGUUUUGAUUUUGUUAUCUUGGUACAAAUGGUACUGGUCUGAUCUUUCCCUUAGGUUUGGUCAAUUCGUAUGUCCUGUUUUAUCACUGCCAUGGUUUUCAUGUUCUGAUUUUAAUUCUAGUCCUUACUUGGUCUUGACUCCCCAGGUUGUAAUUGCUUUUAAUUGCUAUCCAAUUUGAAUCUUCCAUUUUGCUGCAACCAUGGCCACUGCCGUUCUAGUUGCGUGAGAGUUGUAGCUGCUGCAGAAUAAGAUGAAAAGAGGGUUUAUCGUAUUAAAAUCGCUGCGGGUUUGGUUCUUUGAGGUAGGAUUUUUCUUAAAUCUAUUUUACAUUACAGGAUUGUUAUAAAUUGAUAUUAACGCGUAAAAUACAUUGUUGUGAUUUCGUGAGUCUUAUGAUUUAAAAUGAGAUGUUUUGGUUGAAUGAGAUUAUUAGUUUGAUUGAGAAAGUUAGAUAUUUAGAUUAGUUGAUUGAUGUUGUUAAAGUGGUUUUCCUUGAAUUAUUAGAGAAGAUUUAUUAUUGCCUUUUAGGUUAAUUUUGGAAAUGGUUUGAUUUUAGAAAAGAUUUAUUAUUAAAAUUUGAUUUGAUAUUAAACCCGAUUUGAUAACGGAUUUUGAUUUUAAAAUAAAUUUGGAAAAGACUUGAUAUUUGAAAACGGGUUAUUUAUUGAGAAUGAUUUGCUAUUUUGGAAAUGAUUUGAAAAGUGCUUGAGGGAUGGUUUGGUUUGAAACUGUUUGAGAAGACCGAGAAUUCUUAACUAUUGAUUGAUGCUGUUGGUUGAAGUCGGUUUAAAUUGCGAUUUAUAGGAUUGGUUGAUUGAAUUCUGGAUUUUCAAUUUCCUUGGAUUGAGUGUUGUUGUGAUAAUGGUUAUUGGAAGUGAUUUGACUGAUUAACAGGAGUUUGGUUUGGUUUGGUUGGGACCCAAAAAGGGUGGCAGUGUCUAAGCUUUAGAGGAGAUGCUGACGAAAUUUUAUAAAAUUAGAAGUUUUAUUUGAAGUAAUUAAUUAAAAAGAUUUGUUUUUAAAUAUUAUAUGUUUUAAGAUUGAUUUAUUUAUCAAAGAAAGAAUUACAUUUCAAAUUGGGAUUGUUAACAGACGGAAUGGAAAGAAGGAUGAUGAGGAUUUUCUUUGAAAUAUAGUUUUUGAAUGAAUUUGGAAAUGAGGUUUGGAUUGAUGAAUGAUUAUGAUGUUGAGAAUGUUGAGAAUGUUGAGAUAUGAACUUUGAAUUAUUCAUUUGGCUUAUGAAUUUGAAUUAUCUGAGAUACGAGGUUCCCUAAAUAAAGUACCAUGGCCUGCCACCACGUGUACCAGGUUGAAAACUCGAUACUCUGUUGACCCUACGACGUAAGUGUGACCGGGCACUAUAUAAAUUCCCGGGAAUGUUACCCACAUUGAGCAAUAUUGAUUAUUUAAGAAAAAUCUAUGCAUAGACUCUUGGGGAUGCACGUCGGGGGACAGUCUAAGGACAAUUCAGACUUGUCGGGUUGGCUGGAUAACCGACAGAUGAGCCUCAUCAGCCAUAGAACAGACAUGCAUCGUAUGCAUUUGUAUGCUAUGCUUGGGUUUGAACUUGUUUUGGUUUGCCUAAUUGCUAAACUGUUCUUAACUGCUACUUGAACUAUUUGCUGUAACUGCUACCUACUUGUGCUUUCCUUGUCUGUCUUGCCUGUGUUUGUCAUGGCAUGCUACAUUUGAGAAUGAAUUUUGGUGCUGAAUUAAUGACUGUGUUAUUUGAUUGCGUGGUUGGUUUCUAAUUGAGAUUUUCUUAUAAGAAAGGAAAUGUUUUUUAUUUCUGAAAGAUUAACCAUUGUUUCUUUGAAAAAGUUUUGAACGAUUUCCUACGGGUUUUAAAAGAUUCAUAAGGCAACGAUAAUCACUGAGCUUGAGAAUAGUUUUCUUAUUAAAUAUCUUCUUAUGACAACUUUGAAAUUCCAUGGUGAGACCAUGUGGUUAGGUUCUCAACCCCCCUACAGCUUUACCUUUUCAGGAACCGGAUGAGGAAGCAUUAAGAAGAGUUAUACUGCGUUUGGUUUAUAUGCUGUUGUAUUAAUUAGAUUAUUUUCUUCCUUCGUCUUUGUUAUUACAAGUUUGUAAGAGGGAUAGGAAUUGUAUGUUUUAUAUGUAUAAUAUAUUGAGUUAUUACGUAAGGAGUCUUGUAUAUGAAACUAUGCCUGCUUAUAUUUUCCUUAAGAUAAAGUAUUUAUUUCUGGUUUUUUUCAAAGAAAUUAGCGAUACAGUGUCGAGUCACAGGCUCCUAUUUUAAUAUUUAGUAUGUAAAGUAGUCGUAAUACUUCUUGCUAUCAGAGUAGCGCAGCCAGAAGCGUGACUUCUGAUAGUGAGGGUGUUACAUGUAUAACUGCUUUUGUAUGCACAAUGCCCACCUCACUUCUGCUUCAAAAUGGGAGUUCCUUUUGUUCUUAUAAGCUCCAAAAGAGCCAAAGAUAAUCAUCAAUUGUUGAUACAAAAUUACUCACCUGAAGCUGCUUUUUACAUGGAUACUAGCACUUAGUUUUAUUUAAUCUUUCUUUUUUUGGGUAAAUAAAAUGAAAUUAUUAUUAUUAUUAUUUAUUAUUGUAAGUACUAUCUUAUGAUUCAUGUCUUUUAAUUUUAUAUAAUGUAUUUAAAAUUCCAGGGACAUGGAUUGAAGACCAAAUGCAUUAGAUGAAUCUGAAAUUUUUACAAGGGUAUACCAUAUUUGAAGCUUGCUAAUGAGGUAAACUAUUGAUGAUUUAUUAUCUAUUUUAUAGGUAUUUUAAUUUUUGUCAUUGUAAGGUUUAUGGGUCACACUUUUAGUUUGGCUUAUUACUUAAAGUCUCACUAAUUGAUUGGGUUUGUAGUUUUUUUUUGUGAGACUUGAUUUUGAUUUGGCAGAGAAUCUAAGUGAUUGUAUGGAUGUUCAGAUAAAGAGAUGAGCUGCAAAAAAAUAAAGAACCAAUAUGUAGUCGCUGCUAUCAUCAUUAUAAGAUGUGUGCUCUUUGACAUAAAAUUUGUAUUGCUAAUAUACCAUUUCUCUUUAUAAUUUUGGAAUGUACGUCUACUACCCUGUAUUCUGGCUUGUAUUCUUAGUUAUUACUCUAAUGGAAAAUAUAAUGAAAGUGGAGACAACAAGUUUUCUGGUUUUGUUUUUAACCAGAUAGUCAAGAAUGAUCAGAUCCCGAAGAUUGUAAAUUAGAAAGAAUGCACCAUAUAUGUAAAUGAAUGCUGCUAUUUUUUAUUAAAUUAUUGACCAUGUUGUGUGUACCAUAUGAUGCUUUGUGUCUUUCAACUAUUAUCAUGCAACCAAUCAUUAUAUGAUUUAACAUGUUAUUUAUAAUGUUGAUACUGCUUUGAUACUCUUCAAUCACAUUUAGUGAGAUAAGCUUAGCUAUAUUGUUUAUUUAGCUCCAUUUGUAUGACCCAUAAGUGUUGCAUGCAAUUGCACAAUCUUUCCUCACGUCUCCGAUUGUUAAAUUUUGGAUUCUGCCAAGAAUUCUAUCAAUUUUUCCUGCUUUAGUCAAUAAUCUCCUUUCUUUGAAUAAUUGUUAAUUUCAGGAGUUUGUUUGCCAUUGGUAAUGGAUGCAAGAAGUUAAGGAAUCUAAUAUUAAGUCACAAGAUUUUGGAAGCAAUUGCUACCAGAUGCAAGGAACUUCCACAUCUUGAAGUCAAUGGAUGUCACAACAUUCGAGCUUUGGGGCUAGAAUCCAUUGGAAGAUCUUGCCAGUAUGUAUGUAAAAUAAGGAAUGAAUUAACCAUUAAUAAAUAGGCAACAUAAGGAAGCAUGGGACACAUGUUUGGGCUCUUUAUAUUUACAUUUGGUCAAGUUUUUCAUUGUUUGCUAUGUGUGUUUCUCUGUUUAUUUUUUGUUUGUUGUGCUAAGUUUGGCUUUCUAUUGGCAGACGUCUUCUUGAGUUGACAUUACUUUACUAUCAAAGAAUUAUUGAUGUUGGUCUUCUUCAGGAUGGAGAAGGAUGCAAGUUCCUAUAAAGUCUUCAACAAGUAGAUUACUUAAACCUUGGGGAUAUGUGGUAUACCUAUUGGCUGUGGGAAUUUAAAGAAACUUCAUAUCCAUUGCUAUUAUGAGAUAUUUCAUUUGCAUGCCUAUUUGGUUUACCAUGUUAAACUUCAUUUAAAAAUGAAUAUUUUUGGGAUGGCUCACUUUCAAAAUGUUCUCUGUGUAAUGUAAUAUAGGAGAAUGACUGUAACUCAUUUUGUCUCAACACACAAUUUUACCAAUUUUUCCUUUAUCUAAAUGGCUUCUUUUAGUGAUUUCACAUUCAAAACUAAUGUUCGUCAAUAAAAUUUGAAAACCAUGAAAGUUUGAGACCAGUGAGCUACAUGAAAAUGAAUGUCAAAAUAUAGUAUUUAACUUGGUUACAGCAAUUUAUUCACGUCCCAUGCAUAAUCUACCAUUCCCUUUUGGUCUGUUUCAUUGGUCCAAUACUGCAUUCCCAUUCUGCACACGCAUGAAAGUGUGUUAUGUUUGCUAUAUAUGAUAUAGUAAAUUAAUUGGUAUAUGCUAUGAUGUAUAUGCAACUUUGGCAAAAAUUUAAAAACAUUACUGAAAUUAGAACAUAUUUUUUAAUAUGUUACUCAUUUUUGUUGAGCUUGAAGAUUAAAAGUGUUUCAUCCAAAUAGAGUUUUAGCAUUAGUCUUAGGCUUUUAGCCUUUUUUCUUAUCUUUUAAUUCAGUUUUUCCCAAAUUUUUGAAAGGUGCAGAUGAUUUUGCCACAAGUUGAGGUUAUUACUGCUUGAUUUCAAUGGCUGAUUUAUAUAGCUUUAUUGCAUCAAGUAUCAUUUGUUAUAUGUUAGUACUUUUCCAUUUUAUAUUCUGACCAACUAAUUUUACUUUGUGAAAGUAUCUUUUUCUUCCCAAAAGAUUAAUUCUUUGUUAAUAGUAUAUUUUCCAUUGCUCUCUCUUAAAUCUGCUUUGUUACUUUUUAUCUGUUUUGAAUCUGCUUUGCUAUAGCAUAUGGUUUUCUUAAUUUGUUCUCAAUUUGGCUUAUAUGUCUGUUAUAUGUUUUUGGUUGCUACAACUAUUAGCUAAAUACAUAAGAUUCAGGCAUUCAUGUUUUCAUUUUCUAAAUUUGAUAUUUUGAUUUCUUUUGCUUUUUCUAGAUUUAUUGCAAUUUGAAUGGUACUUUAUAUCAUAGUUGUCAGAACUGAACCGGUGAUCGAACCGGUCAGAUUACUAGGUCACUGGGUCAUUGGUUCAACUGGUGAAUUACUGGUUGAACCAGUUAACCCGGUCCCACAUAAGUAAAACAUAUAAAAUAGCUAAAAACUUAAAAAUUAACAGUUAAAAAACAUAUCUCUAAUAACAUUUUAAUAAACAUUAAGUCUCAAAUCUUAAAAAUAAGUAAUACGAAAAUAAACAUAAAAUUUGUUAGUACUAUUACAUAAACAAAUCAAUUUAACACAAUGAAAAUAACAAUUUAUGGAUUAUAUCCAAGGAGUAAUUUCAAAGUCUGGAUAUCUUUUUUCAUCUGACAAAUCUGGAGCUACAUCCUGAUUGGUUUCAUUCUGAUUUGUAUUUUUCACAGAAUUAUUAUUAGCUUCAUCAUCAUCUCGAUCAUCUUCCAGAUUCAAUUGAUCUAGCAUUUCAAUAAUGUUUCGCAAAUCAUAAUCAAUAAUAAGGCAAAAUAUUUGGUUAAAGAAUUACAAAAUCAUCCCUAACAAAAACAUACCCAAAUCAUCUAAAGCUGAUUGAAGAGACAUAUUUGCAAGAUCAUUCCGUAACGCAUCAACUUUUUCAGGGGUUAAAAAUGGUCGUGAAUCUUCUAUUAUCCAUUUCGAAUGAUCCUCAAAUGCAUCAAGACAAAUUGGAUCGUAAAUUUGCUUUUCUCAUUCGAUUCCUAUAUUAUCAAUUAACUUGAUUAUUCUUAUUAUGACUAAAAAUUUUAAAUAAUGCCUUCAAGAAAGAAUAAUAAAAAGUACCUUUGUUGUAGCCUUAAGUUGUAAUGAAUAUAAACAAGAUCAUUAAGCUUUUGAUACUCUAACCGAUUCCUUUUCUUUGAGUGAAUGUGUUCAAAAAUGCUCCAGUUACGCUGACAGCCUGAAGAACUACAAGUUUAACUCAAAACACGAAUCGCUAACUUUUGCAAGUUUGAUGCUCCAUAUCCAUAAGAUUCCCACCAUUGAUCUUAACAUCAAAAGGAAAUAAUAUAUCACAAUCAUAAAAUCAAAUCAUAAACAUAUCACAAUCAUAAAAGACUAAUUUUAAUAAAAAAAAAUUACCAGGCAUCACUAUGCUUUGCUCACGUACUGUAGACUGUCUUCCAAAGUCUCCUUCAGCAUUCUUAAAGAUUCUCAUCUCACUUAUCAAUUUAGAAAUCAAAUCUACAUCACCGUAAGCAUAUCUCUCAAUGACAUCUAGUAGGACAGAAGUUGUUUUCUUGUGCUUUUCAAAUUCUGUAGCAUUAAAUCGAAAAGCUGAAUUUAACCAAUAACCAGCAGCAUGAAGGUUUCUUUUAAGUUGUAAAUCCCAACGUGAAUCUAAAAUCUUCAAAUAUGGAUCAACAACCUUCUUUCUUUUUUGAAACUUCUUCACCAUCUCUUUCCUAGUCUUAUAAAUAGCUUGAUAAAGGAAACCCAUUGCAGCUCUAUCUUCACUAUCCACAAUACGCAAUACACGAACAAGUGGCUCAUUAAGCUUAACAAUAUCAGUGCAUUGAUUCCAAAAUUUAGAAUCUAAGACUUGAUCCACAAACUUUUUUGCUUUGGCUUCUUUAGAGUAAGUUGAGCUUGUCCAUUCUCUAGAUGUCACCAUAGCUCUCAAUGCAUCCUUUUGAGCCAAAAUACUUUGCAAAGAAAUAAAAUUAGUGGCGAAUCGAGUUGGAGCUGGACGAAGUAUUUCUCGUCCGCCUGUGAACUUUCUCAUCAAGUACAAAGGAUGGCAGUGAUUAUAGAUAAACUUCGUAAUCAUUGAAGCUUGUGACACAGUUUCACUCACUUCCACUAACUUCCCAAUAUCCCGCAACAUCAGAUUAACACAAUGUGCCGCACAAGGAGACCAAUACAAUCUAGAAAACUCCGAUUCCAACAACCUUCAAGCAGCAACGUAAUUUGCAGCAUUAUCCGUCACUACAUGUACAACAUUUUUAGGACCAACAAAUAACACAAAAUCCCUAAGCAACUUAGACAAAGCAUCAACAGUUUUCAAGAUAUGAGAAGCAUCAACUGACUUUAGGAAAACAGUUCCUUUAGGGCAAUAAACCAAGAAAUUAAUUAAAGUACGCCUACAACGAUCAGUCCAUCCAUCAGCCAUGAUAGUACAUCCAGUUGGUUUUCAAAUCACACGAUAAUCUUCAAUCAUCUUCUUUACAUCUUCAACCAAUUUACUCAACAAAUAUCCACGAACUCUUCCAUAAUUUGGCCCUUUAUACCCUGCACCCAUGUUUGCAAUAGUAUCGAUCAUCGGCUGAUAAUAAGCUGAAUUAACCGCAUUGAAUGGCACACAGGCAUCCAUCAUCCAUCUUGCAAUAGCAAUAUCACACUUCUCCAUAAUUUCUUUGCUUUGGAGAACACUUUUGAUAGUUGGUUGAGCUCCAGGUGUUGUUGCCGGUGGAAAAAAGAAUUGUAAUCCCUUGAGUUGUUUUCCAACUCCCUUUCUAGAGCUAGGUGCUGGAAUUCUUGAUGUUUGUUGUUGUCGCAUCUCAUUACGUUCAAUCUCAUCAAAUUCCCUUUCCACUUCAUCAUAAGCAUUAUAACUUUCUGCAUAUUUUUUUUUUGAGUUUUUCUUUUCUUAGUUCAAAGAUCUUCAAUGUUUUGAUUGAAUUGGUGUCUCACCACAGCUGGCACCUUUCGACAUGCCUCAAUAUCUUCGCCUUUUUCAGCCAAAUGAUGCUUAACCCGGUUAAUUCAUCCACCCCUAAUAAGCUUCUCGCAAUAAAUACAUAACAGAACAGUUUUUCCUUUAUCCACAACUUGUUUACAAUGGCCCCAUGCAGGAUCAGUUUUUCCUUUGUUACUAUUUUUGGGUUCCAAUUGUUGGAUCAAGAGUUGAUCCUUGUUCCUGAGAAGUUGGUGUUUCUGAUGGUGUAUUUGAUGAAGCCUGUAAGACCCAGAACUGUUGAAAAGUCUUAUUAUGAUCAAGUCUCAAAUCAUAUAGUUAUUUAUAGCCUUAAUUUCAGAAAUUAUUUUAUUAAAGAUAAUUAAGGCAAGUUGUGAUUUAUUGAAUUUGAGACGAGUUAUGAUUAUUAUCCAAUUUUAUAAUUAUUAGAUUAUUUUCUAUAUUUGAAUUAUAAAGUUGAUAGUUGUGAAAUAAUAAGGAAUUUAUAUGAUUUGGAUUAGAUAAGUAAUAUUUUAAAUAUUAAUACUGCUAUUUUGGAAAAUGAAGAAAUUAAGUAUAUUAUUUCUAAUUAUUUGAUUUGGACCUUCUAUUGAAAGUAACUUGUAAAAUGGAUGAGUAAAUGGUAUUUUUCUAUAUACAAUUAGUGUUGGAUUUAAUUUGGGUUUUAAUUACUAUAUUAUCCCUAUUUUUAAGUGAAAUUACAAAAGUAACCCUAACCCAGCGACCCGUUACCCGGACCCGGUUCCCUUUUCCCCCACACCCAGCUGCAGCCGAAAUUCCCUUUCUCCCCCAAAGCAGCAGCACACACGGUUUCCUUUUUCCUUUUCCAUGAAAGGAAAGAAACAGAAGCAGGAAACGGAGAGAAGGGAGGAAGCAGCUCGCCGGCCAGCCGUGCCUUGCCACUGCCGUCCCCACCUCGACGCCGAACCUGCCACGCCUUGCUGUUAGUCACCGCCGUCACCCACAUUCUUCCCUUCAUAACCUCACCCUCAGAUUUCAUCAACCCACACACACCGAACAAACGCACACCCAUGGUGGAGAAGAGAUAGGGCAGAGAGAGGGAGAGCGCACAUGAGGAGCGCGACCCGCUGUGUCGCCGUGUGCCAUCGCCGUCGUCGAGCUCCCAGGGCAACCACCGGCAAGAUUCAAAGGAGAGAGAAGCUUGAGGAGAGAGGGAGAUCGGCAGAGGGAAGGUUCUGUUCGUGCAGUCGUGCCUCCCUGCCUCAGAUCCGUCACCAUCUCCACUGCCUUUUCCGCCGCCGCCAGGCCGUGAACACCGUUUCGGUGGUUGCGUUCGCCGCUGCCUAGAUACAUGUGGUCCAAGGCACCAUUGAUGGAGCUCCGUUUCUGCUUCCCUGAUCCGCCGUGAGUGAGCGACGUUGGGAGAGAGGGAGUCGUCGUGGAGCCACAAGCUGCGCCGGUCGCCGCCGCGUCGCGUAGGAGAGGAAGGUUGAGACCGAGCGCCGCUGGGAGAGAGGAAGACGCGGUCUGGAGGAGUUGCAUCUAGUCACCGCUGUCGCUGGAGUUCUGAGGCCACCGGGACCACCGCCGGAGCUUCUGGCUACUUCUGCCAUCGCCGGAAAAAGUUGCCGGUAAGGGUUUUAUUUGAGGAUUCUGUCCUUUUUGAAUUCCGAGGAUACCGUAGUCACUGCGUGUUGGUUUCAGUUGGCAUGAUACGGCUGUUGUGCUAGGAGUUGCUGCAAGUUGCCACUGCCAGAAUCACUACCAGGGCUGCCGCUUCAUGGUUCAGUCACUUCUUAUUUGCGGCAAGCGUUUAUGUUCCGGUAACCCUUUUAGUCGCUGUCCUGUUAAACGUUGAGGUGUUGUAGCAUUUGUUGUUAUGAGAGUUAAUCUUGGUGGUUACGUGUUGCGAAUAAAGUGUUGUGGUCACUGCAAAAGUGAGCGAAGCCGUGAUUCAAGCUGCUGGUAAUUUCGGGUUAAGAGAGAAUGUUCCUGUGACGCGUUUGGGUUAUAGAAUUUGCGUUUUGAGGUAGGGGCGCUUUCUGAAAACUAUAUUUUAUAUGUUGGAAUUAUUACAUAUGGAUACUAUUGUGAGACAAUUUUGUAUUUGGUGAUGGUAUCAGCCUUAUGUAUUAUUGAUUGUCUCAAAUGAUUAUGAAUGUUUGCUUGGCUGGAUUGUUGUGUAUUUUUGUGAGAUGCAAUGUUCUGAAGUUGAUUAUUUAAAGAUUUGAAAUUUGAGUUUAAUCCGUUGAGGAUUGAUCUGAAUUGAGUUAAUUAGUUUGAUGAUGUGAAAUGUCGAAUGCACUUUUGAAUUCAGCCUGGUUUACUUUAAUUGACUUGGUUUUGGACAAAAGAUUUGUUACUGAACCGUUUCUUUAAAGCUGUGGAAAUGAGUUAAAUCGGUUGAUAUUGAUUUGAUUUUGAAACGGUUUUCUUGAAAUAUGGAAUUGAGAUGACUGUUGGAUUUUGGCUUGCCUUGGACUGAUUUUUGGAUUUUGGGCUGUUGAAAAGGAUUGUGAAACGGUUUAGUUGAGACCCGAACCGGGUGGCAAAGUCCAAGUUUUAGGGGAGGUGCUGCCAAAAUUUCUAUAAAAUCUGAGUCUUUAUUGAAAGGUUGUUGGGAAAAAUGAUGAGUUAAAGACUCCUACUAUUUUAUUUGAAUUAUCAGGAAAAGGAUGAUUCAUGCUUUUGAAAUGAAUUAUUAAAGAGGAAAUUGUGAUUUAGUCUUGCUUCUUAAGAAAAGCAUUGUAUCUCUUUUGGGAGAAAGUUAUUUAGAUGAAACUUAUGUUUUAAAGCUGUUUUAAUUGUGACAAUAGCUAUACCUUUGAAUUUGACUUGAGGGUUUCAAUUAGAGGAGUUUCAAAGACUUUGAAAGAACCUGAAUGUCUAUUGACAAGUUUCAUUUUAAAAGGUUUUGAGAAAGGUUUUAAGUACUCUUUGAAUUCUGAAUUCUUGCAAGACUAAAACAAUUUUGAGUCGUUGAAACGUUCUAGAAUUUAUCAUGGGGGUUGAAGUUGGUUUUGCCUAAGUAAAGGAAACGAAUUUGAAGAAGUGAAAGAUUAUAUGACUCGGUUUGACUUAGAUCCUAUUUUAUUGCUCAAAUCAGGAAGCCAAGGUUUUUAAUGAAUUUAAAUGAACUUGGCGAAAUGAGUUAUGUUAUUCUCCCCUAAAGACUUAGGACUCUGCCGAGAAAAUUUGUUAUAAAAUCCCAUUGUGGGAUGGGUGAUUUUGAAUGUUCCCAAAUUGAAUCUUUAACUUUCCAUGGUUUUGGAAGUUUUGGAAAGAGGAUGCCGAGAGCGGCUUUGUUUUAAAAAGGGAACUUACUUUGAGUAAAUUUGGCUUAUGAGCCUAAGAUGAUUUGAGAAAUGAGAUCUUUAAAGCCAAGGCUGAAAAGAGUUGAAACUUGAUUUCAAAGUGAAAUGAAUUGAGAAAAAGUGAUUUAUGGCUUAAAUGCUGAUUUUAUGAGUUUAAUGAUGUUGAAUGGUGGAAGUGCUGUUUUGUUAUGGGCUAGAAUGGCUGUGUAUGAUUAUGAACAUUGGCUGGUUCUGGAUUGAACCGUGAGCCGGAAUGGCUGUGUAUGAUAUUGAUUCAUGGCUAAUUGCCAAUGAGUUAUGGGCCGUAUGGCCGACUAUGAAUUAUGAAUUUAAGCCGGAUGGCUGAGAUGGAUGUUGAUCCAUGACUGGGACUGAAUGAAUAUAUGCUUGAGAUUCCUGGGUAGUAGCAAGGGUUGUGGUUUGUCCCACUUGCUCCAGGUCAGAGACUGUGAUGCCUGGGUAGUAGCGGUAGUAGUGGUGAUUCCACUCGCUCCAGGUUGAGCUUUUAAGCACCCGCCUGGGUAGUAGCCGUAGUAGUGGUUAUUCCACUGGCUCUGGGUUGAGCGGGUAGUAGUAAUGGGGUUGUAGCUCAAACCUACUUGCUCCGCGAUGGGUGUUUCUAUCCAUGGUUAGCUACCAGGACUUGUCGGGUUGGCUCUAUAACCGACAGAUGAUAUCAUCAGCCACUAGGGACAGGCAUGCAUCAUAUGCAUCUAUGUGAUAUUGUUUGGGUGUGCAUAUUAUACUUGGUUUGCCUAUGUGAUUAAUUGCUAAUUGUUCUAUUUGCAAUAACUGUUUGUUUAUGCUUGCAUCUUCCUAUUUGUGUUUGCUACUGGGACUCUGUUGGACUGUGGUGAUUGGUUGAUGGUUGGAUUGUUUGGGCCUAGAGCCGUGGUUGGAAUGAGAUGAACCGAUGGUUGAUUUUGGUUUUGUGUUUCUGGUUUGGAAUAAAAUAUGAAAGACUAUUUUGGUUCAGCAUAGAUAAACCUUUUUGAAAGGUUUUUGAGUUUUUUUGAGAAUUGAACUGUUCCUCUUUCAGAAAAGAUUUUCGAUUCCUCUUUUAUUGUAAAUUGUUGUUUUUGAAAAGAGGCAUAAGACGGUUAUUAAUCACUGGUACGGUUUAUCUUCACGUAUCCUAUUACAGUAAUUCCCAAAAACCCUCUACUGAGAACCCUUUCGAGGAUGAUGUUCUCACCCCCCCCCCCAACAUUUUUCCCCUUUCAGGAUAUGGGCGCAGAAGUCAAGAAGAGUUUAUUUUGUUGUUGUUGAAAAGCUCUGUAUUACUUUAGAUUAUUAUUUAUUAUACCCUCGCCUUUAUCUUGAUAUAUUCUGUAAGAGGGAUAGGAAUUGUAUUGGGUAAUGCUUGUAAUAUUAUUUAUAUAUAUGUGUAUAUAUAUGGAUGUACUCUUUGUGAGUUGUUGUAAGUGUAUUGAAUGUAUGGAUGUACGUUAUCGAACGAAAGUAUUUUUGGGAGCGGUAUUACGGUUUAAAGUUUUAAACAGGCUCAUAUUUUAGUAUUAAAUAGUAUAAGUGUCGUCGUAAUGUCCGAGCUAUCAGAGUCGCGCAGCCGGAAGCGUGAGCUUUGGUAGUUAGGGCGUUACAAAGCCAUCCUAAAUUCCUAAUCAACCAGGACUAAAUGAUUAAAUGACUAAUCAACAAUCAACAAUCUAAAAAUAAUGGAUAAUCAACAAAUUGAACAGAAAUCAAACAUAAAUCAACAAUCAAGAGAGAUCAAAAUCAAACAGAAAUCAACAUAGAUAAUCAACAUAUAUCACAACAAUAUGUUACAAAAAACUGAAUAAUCAACAAUCUAACUUCUAAUAGAAAUCAACAUACAUAAUCAAAAUCAAUUAAUUCUAACUAAAACUAAAGUACUAAAUUAUGAAAAUUUAAAAUCUUGAAUAACUUAAAAAAAUAAAAACUUAAAAAUACAUACCUAGAGGGACGAGCAGAGAAGAGGGACUAAGGGAGACCAGAGGUGACGACUGACGAGUAGGAGGCGACGAGCAGGAGGCGACGAGCAGUAGCAGUAGCAGGAGGCGACUUGAAUCUUCGAUGGAGGUGCUUCUGGGUUGUUGUGGGUGGCGCACUGUGACGAUUGCCUCCUGCGACGAUGGUGAGCCGGGUGAGGUGGCUGAACGGGUCUCUCUCACACUCUCUGUCUCAAACUCUCAGCUCUCAGUGGUCUCUCAUGGAGUCAUGGCCAAAAGGUUUGGAAGGGAAAACAGGGAAAGCGGAUGGAGGCAGGAGGCUCGAGCUAGGGUUUUCAGCAGCUCAUUUUACUUUACUGAGUUUUUUUUUUAUUUUAGUCGAAACGACGUCGUUUCAAGCGAAUAAAAAAAAGAGUUCGAAGCGGUCUGGAUUAAAUGAAACCCGUCGAUUCACCGGUUUCGGCCAAACCCGACCGGUUCAAAUCGGGUCUUUCCGAUUCGCGUUCUUGUCCGGUCAGGAAGCUCAUCUGAACCGGUUAUGUCACCGGUUUACCGGGUUUUCGGUCCGACCAGGCGAUUCAGUCUAGUUCCAACAACACUGCUUUAUAUCAUUGUUGGUUCUAACCUUUUCCUUUUUCUCCUUUCAGGAAGCUAUUGUAGAAUCUUUUAAGCCAUCACCCUUUUUUUAUUUAUUUUUUUCUAUUUUCAGAUUUUCUUAUUAUUAUUUGAUUUAUUGGCUAAAACAUUUAAGAUUGCUUAGCAUUCGAAUUUUCAGAUAAAUUUAAACUAUAGAUAUAGAUGAGUUUGAGUUUAGUUUUGAUAAUUUGGGAUUAGAUAUAUUUUGAAUUCUACUCAAAAAAUAAAAAAUAGGAUUAAUUUCGAAUAAUGUAUCUUUAUCUUAUAAUAAUUAUUUUGUUUAUUUUAAUUUUUUAUGUUAAUGCAAUGAUUGGUUUUAUGCUUUGUUCAAUUAAGGGACCACUGGUGGAUUUGAAAUAUGUAAUGAUUCUUAUAGAUGAAAAAGAGUUUUAAAAGAUAGUAGGGCCAUUGAAAUUUUACAACUCAUAUAAGCUUAAAAACUUAAUUUUUUAUUAUUAUUUAACUAUUGUUACUCAAUUUUAAUUUCUUUUUUUUCAUUAUUUAAUAUUUUUUGAUGACAUAUAAAAUAAAUUUUUUCUCUUUAUUUUACUUUUUUUUUUCUUUGCCCUUUUCAUUUUUGGCUCCCAACAAUAAUUAUUAUGGAUGGUGUCAAUGAAAUUGUAUGUUACUUCAUGUUUUGAUUUGAAUAUUUUGCACUAUUAGGUGUUAAAAGGAUUAUGUCAACGAAGAUAAGUAGUCUAAAGUAAAAGGUAAAAUGGUGUGCAUGAUGAAAAAUAUAAUACAAGAAAAAGUUAAUGGAGAUAUAUUACAAAUUUAUUGGUAAAUGUUGUACAUGCCAAAAUUGACUAUUUGAAGUUGGUAUUAAAUAACAAGAAUAUAAUUGAAUGGAUAAACUCAUAAAAGCCAAGGAACAUGUAAACUCAGAGAUGCGGUUUUUGAAAACAAAAUAAUUAGCUUCAGGCAUAUAUUCCAGGAUCUAUUUGCUGUGGCCAAAUGUGAUAGGAAAUUCAGAGCCGAAUUAAAAAAGAUUGGGAUUGAAUCGGUUCUGAAAGGAAAAUGAACGAGUUGGAUGCUAUGAGAACGUGAUUUAUUAAAGAAAAUGACAUAAUGUGGACACUUAAUGUUAACGAUUUUAGAGACAAAAUGGUGAGAUAUGCAUGAAGGGCAUGAACACUAGGAGAUUAUCACAGGCUGAACCAAUUCUAAAAAUAGAGUGAUGAUGUUGAAUUUUUCUGUUAUUAAUUUAAAUACUACAUUCUAAAUAAUUGAAAGACUUAUUUUUUUAAUAUAUUUUUAAUAUACAGAUUGAUCAUUCCAUUGUUAAAAAUUUAAAAAAUGAAGGAAUAAGUUAAAGGACAAUAUAAGAUAAAUUUAAAGAGAACAUAAGAUCUUAGUAUUUUUUUUUAUUUUUAAUAAUCUAUCUACUAUUAUAAAAUUACGUAAAUCAAAUUAUUAUAAAAAAUAAUUUAUGUAUUGUAAAAAUUAAUUAUUAUAUAUAUGAUACAAUUAGUAUUGGGUUAGCCCAAUUAAAAAAUUAUACUAUAAAUAGGAGUAUGAUGUAAUAAUGUAGGAUAUACAUGGUAUAAUUGAAAAUUCUACUUUCUCUCUUUGGUCCUAAUUCUAGGGAUUUCUCCUCCAUUCUCUCUAAUUAUCUCUAAGUCUCUCUAAUUCUUGAUACAAAUUCGUAUCAAAUUGUGCUUUCAUUGAACAAAUCUCCUAUGUUUGAUGGCAUUGGAGAUGGUUACCAGUGGUUUAUUCUCAUUGAAUAAUUUUGGAAUUCCCAAGGCACUCCUGAAGAGCAAAGAUUAUUGAAAACUUCCAAAUACCUCACAGGCAAGGCUCUAACAUGGUUUCGGUUAUGGAAGAAAUUCAAUCCUACUGCAACUAGAUCAGUUUUUGAUAUGGCAUUUUUGCAUCAGUUUGUGCCAAAUUCUUGUCCUAUACUGCCAUCAGAAAUUUCUUGGAAGGAAGUUUCAGAUCUAGAUAUAACUUUGGAAGAAAUCAGAAUAUACUUAGAUAAGUAUCAACCUAAGCCAGAGGAAGAACGUGAUUCCUCAACAGCCAAUCCGAAUCCAAUAAUUCAAACCAAUUCAACAUCGAUACCAAUUUCAGAAUUCAACAUGAAUAUAGAACACACAGAAGAAGCAGCAACAGAUUUUAAAUUGGAAUUUCAACCUCAACAACAACAAGAGAAUUCAACCGAAAGUGCAGAUCAAGCAAAAAUUCAAAUCUCAUACCAAGAUAUUCAAUCAAAAUUUCAAGCUCCAGUUACAGAAAUUUCAGAUCCAGAAAAGAGGAACGAAGAGACCGUCAUGGAAGGCGGCGACAGUGUGUAGAGCGGCAAAGAUCAGAGCAGAGGCAGCGAUACCGGGGACGGUGCCAUCGCGAUGGAGAAGGUGGCGUUCGCGGAUCACGACCCGGCAGCAGUGAGGGUGACGCGACCACCACCAAAACUACCGCAUCUGAACUCACACGUGGCGGUCUUGGGUAGCACCGCCAACGCUUCAAUGUUGAACAGAGGAGGCGGCGUCGAGGAAGAAGCACCAGCUGAUCUGUCCCUAGGUAGCGGCGUCGCGGUCGGAGCGUCCGCGAUGGGCGAGCGGAAACUCGUGACGGUGGAGGGGAGAACAGCGUCACUGAAGAUGGAGGGCAAAACAAUAGCGGUGACCGGUGGAGUUUGAGUUCGUCGCAUCUCUCUAUUAGUGGCCAAACCACCACCACUCACAGUAGCUGUCUUCCCUUGGAAUCGAGACGGAGGACGAAACGGAGAGGGCUUGCAAGGGCGAGUGGCGGCUUCGGGAAGAGGCAGGGAGAACUCGAACAGCGAACAGCGGAGGGGCGAGAGCCGGACGUCAGCGGCGGUGCCUCCUUGUGAGCUCGCGACGGCCGGAGGUGCGAGGGUUGGAGCUGCGACAGCGGUUUUUCCAUGGAACCGCGAGUGUGGAUUCAGAACACGGUGGAUGAAGGAAGCAGAGCACGAGAAAAAGGGGAGAAGAGACGCAAUUCUGAGAGAGGUUACAAAUGAGGCUAUGCAUUGGAGACCCUUGGGGUCUGUAGUGACAAGCCCAAUUCCACCAGUCUGGAGCCAGCACAAUUUUUUUGUUAACGGAUCCAAACUCAAUCAAGAUUUUUGUUGAAGGUAUAUUAAGGUCCAUUAAGGGUUAUUUGAAUUUUUUGGUUCAGAUGCAGGAAGUUUGUUAUUUUAAACAAUGGGAUCCUGGUGGCCAAUUUUUAUUUUAAGUAGUAGUAUAGAAAAUAUAUAUAUUUUUUUUAAUUAAUUUUGUUUAGUACUUGUAAUUUACAUUUAUGAUUUUAGUUAGGUUUUAUAUUUUUUUUUCUCCAACCUUGAGGAUAAGGUUAUUUUGAAGAGUAUGGUAAUGAUACAAUUAGUAUUGGACUAGCCCA
rnacentral:lncRNA from 1 species